ACAACUGCUUAUAUACUCCUAAAGAGUUUUCAAUUUUCUGAUUUAUUCUUCUUACAAGAUUAUUUUACGUUCCAAUUUAUUUUCAAUAUAUUCCUUACAAUAGUGUUAUCUCUAUAAAAUUACUAUUUUUCUCUUUUUAAAUAUACCAUUUUAUCAUCACUAACUUUUCUUAUUUGUUCUUAAGUUAGGAACACAAGAAGUAUUUUAAUUUUUUGUCUUUUCAAAUAUACCCUUCUGUCAUUACCAAUAUUUCUUAUUUGCUCUUAAGUUAAGGACAAAAAAGACAUUUUAUUUUUUUUUUUAUAACUUCGGUAGAUAUUUAAUUUAUAUUUAACCUAAGUUAACUUAAUGAAUGAUAACUGCAGGAAUAUUUUAAAAUAAUAAAAGAACAUAUAAAAAAUAUAUUAAAAUAAAUAAAUAAAUAAAAUAUUGGGGAAACUUCAAAAACCCUCCUUGUAGUUUUAAUUUUUUUCACUUUAGUACCUUGUGGUUUAAAAUGUAUCAAGUUAGUACCCUGUGGCUUAAGGUGUAUCAAGUUAAUACCUUGUGGUUUUGCACUUUAUCACUUUAGUACCAUGUGGUUUUAAUUUUGUAUCAAAUUAGUAUCAUGUGAUUUUUUAAACCAUAGGGUACUAAAGUGAUAAAGUGUGAAACCACAGAGUACUAAAGUGAUAAAGUGCAAAACCACAAGGUACUAACUUGAUAGACCUUAAACCACAGGGUACUAAAGUGAUAAAGUGAGAAACCACAUGAUACUAACUUGAUACACUUUAAAUCACAUGGUACUAAAAUAAAAAAGUAUGAAACCACGGGGGGUGGUUUUUGAAGUUCUUUCUAAAAUAUUUUUGAAAUUUUGAGGGGUAUAAAAAUAAUCAUCCCUUAGAUCUUUAUCUCUCUUUCAAUGGGGUUUGCAAUGUCGAUACUUGUGGAUAGGCCUUUUCUCAACAACUUUAAUGGGUGCCGCAGCAAAAUUUGACCAGGUGCUCAAGAGUCACAUCCAUGUGUUUUUCUCAGCAACUUGUUGCAACUUGCAACUUGUGGUACCCUGCACACAUCAACAUUAAGUAUGCAGCUAAGAAAUGGUCCCUAGAUCAAAGGAAGGACAAGAAAUAUAAUUAUUAGAACUGCAGAGUAUUUUGAUUCAGCUAUCCCAUUUUUCUUUUUUAAUUCUAGUAUCAAAUUUUAUAUUUAAUUAAUUUAAACAAUUUGAUAAUUUUUGGUUAUAAAAUUUAAGUUAGUAUCUUACUUUAAUAUGUUAAUUGUUAUGUGAAUUAUAUAAAAUAUAUUAACUAAACUGAUAAAAAUAAUCGAUGUGCUUGAGUUUGGAAGUUAAAGGAUCACUACCCGGCUCAAAUCAAAUAAAUUUAAAUGUUCGAUAGUGAAAUAAAAAAUUUUGAAGUUAGGAAAGUUACAUCAAAACGAAUGAUAGUUGAGGUAACCUUUAUUUUACUGGAAUUUUUCUCAACUUUUAAUUUAUAAGAAUAAAGCUAAAUAAAUUCAAAAUAUCAUCAAACGUAUUGAUCUAAAAGGGGAAAACCUGGAUUGAGUAAGUAAAUCACGCGACAUUGACUAAUAAAGGAAAUAUUUAAAAAGAUAAUAUAAUAGCAUGUGGAAUAGUAUCAGAAAGGAUUCGAUACCGUGCAGGAAAUAAGCCGGAAAUAGUUUUAUACCAUAAAUCUUAGGCAUGCAAAUGGAUCCGAGUUAAUGUAGCUCUUGCCCAUAUCCCCUAGAAAGAGGCAGUAAUGGAAGGCUAAAAAUAAAAGACAAAAGUAAUCCGUUCCAUAUUUGCUCUAAUCUACUAGGGAUACGGAGCGAGAGGAGCGAUUUGUCAAAACUUUGUUCCUACUCUGAUAUGUUCUAACGGGGGACGAAAUAUAGAAUAAAAAUCAAUUCGUCCCGACCCUCCAAGUAAAUAGAGAGGGAGAUAGGGGAUCCCUUCUGCCCCAAGAUCCGCCGAGUAUCCUUAAUAAGGCUAUAUGUGCAUCUUAAACAAAAGUCUGCAAAUGGGCUGGAUCGGGCUUUCAGAUGCUGUACAGAUAGUAAAACCAAAUAGCCCAGGGUGGCCCAUAUGGCGUGUAAAAGGCCCAUAUAAAGUUUUUAAAAGAAGUUUGGGAAUAUUGAGGUAUAUCUGAUUGGCCCCUGUAAAUGUUUAGGGCAUUGAGUUUCUUCUUUGGGCUUGUGUAAGAUACAUAGGCACUACAAAUUAGGGGUUGCAAUCCGGCUCGCCGUUCGCGAACUAACUCGUGUUUGAUUCAAAAUGAGCUCGGGAUCGAAUUGCUCGUUUAGUAAACAAGCCGAACACAAGGUGAAUUUUUCAGCUUGUUUAAUAAACGAACCGAACACGAGCUGGGAUCAGCUCGCUCGUGUUCGGCUCAAUAACAGUUCGAAUACAUAUAUUUUAUAUUUAUAUAGUUUAUUUAAUUUAUAUUUAUAUAUAUGAAUAAAUAAAUAUAUAUAAAAUAUAUAUUUUUGUUAUUUAAUUUUUUAGCAAAAUAAAAAUAUAAAGACGUGCUUAAUUAUAAAAAGACUUAUUUAUUUGUAAAGUUGCAACCAAUAGAUUAAAGUCUAAUUAGAUUAAAAACCACUGAUGAUAAAAACAUGAACUACAAACGGUAGUGACAUAUACAGUAAGGCAUAACCGUUACAAAUGAAGAGCUGAUCUUCGUAUAAGAUUUAAUCCUUUUCUUGUGUGGUGUUCCAAUUGCGUAUGCAUUGCGGACACACUUGAAGUGAAACGCCAAUUACAUGUAAGGACAAUUAGGAGCAUAUGAAUUAAAAGAGGCCUCUCUCUCUCUCUCUCUCUCUCUUUAUAUAGAGUACUCUAGAGUGUUUUAGAAAUAAAUGCUCUCUCUACUUACUAAUAGAGCACUCUAGAAAACUCUAGAAAUAAGUGUUCUAAAAUACUCUAAAGUGUUUAAGUUGUGAGUUGGGGUUUGGGCCUAUAAAUAGGUGUAAGACCUCCAUACCAAGUAAAUGUGGUGAAGUGGUAAAGAGUACAUUAUGAAAUUGUAGUGUGUGUGGUGAGGCACAGUGUAGAGAGUAAGGGUGUAUUGAAUAGUGAAAUUAGUAUGUGAGUUUUUUAGUAUUUUGGAUAUAUGUGAUAAAAUUUUAUGUAAUAGUUAUUUUGUAUGUACUAAAAAGUGUUUUAUUAUUAGUUUGAUACGUCAAUAUUCUAUAUGAACUUUCAUACCUUGAAAUAUAUAUAUUUGACGUAUCAUCAGCAGGAAGGAAUUCCUUAAGGUCCAAGCCGUCGUGAGGGGCGUUUCCUCGGACAUUCCUUGUCGUCCCAAGUACCCUAUAGAGAUUAAAGCAUUUAUUAUAAACAGAAAUUAUGAAUUGAGAAGAAGCAGGUGUCGAAGAUAUGAAACGUUUUGGCAAACACAAGAGCACCUGUAGGUUUGGGUAUCUAACAUGUUAACCUAUUGAGCAAGGCGAGUUACCGCGAUUGAUACUUCCUUGUUUCAAAGUUCGCUCGCUGUCUUUCAUUUCAAGUUAAAAGAAGAGAAGGUAUUUAAAAAAAAAGAAGAGUAUAUUAAAGAGUCCCAUAAUUGGUUCCAGGAGAAUCUUGAGACAAAGAAUCGCGGAAAUAAGAGAGCCAGCAUACCUGAAAAGAUCUAAACUGAACAGCUGAGCAAGGCAGGAAAUCAGGAAAAUGUAGUCUCCUUUAAUCAAACAGUCCCCUUUUGCUUGGAAAUUGUACUCAGACAAGAAUACCACAAGAAUUUAAGCCAUAAUGAAUCUAUUAUUCGGUACUGAAUAUUAUUGUUGAAAUGUGUCUUCGCAUUCCUCUCUGGGUUCUUGUGUUGAAACAUGUGAAAAAUGCAACAAAAUAGUUAGAUAAAUGCGCGAUGACCUGAAAUUUUAACGCGGUUUUAGCAAAAAAGUGACUAAACCAGGCAAUGGAGGAUAUCGAACCCACGAACACUCGGAACGAGGGACAUGUCGCUACUAACCGCACUACAGAAUUAGAAUCCGCUAACUAUCAAAACAACAUUUCAUGCGUUGUUUGGUGGGUUGUUUGGACUGGUAUUUGGUGGGUUGUUUGGACUGAAAGGAAUGACUGUCUUUUCUGUGCGAAACCUCCCAACACUACCCGUGCACUAGAACGUGUUAGACUUCUGCUGACAUCCUGGAUCACGAAACUCUGACCCUGAACGUUUGGUAUUGAUCUACCUCUUUCCUAUUUUCCUGGUUGACUUCGCCGUUUUUUUUCCUGUUUAUAGUUUUUUUGUUUUAUUUCUAGUUUCUCUCUUUUGUCCGGAGGCCUCGGCUGCCUCCAUUAUGUAAGCCUAAUUCAUUUUCCUAAUGAAUGAAGCAGAUAGCUUGCUAUCUAUUUCUCAAAAAAAGUAUUUCUUGCGUUGCUAGAAAAAAAAAAAUCAUUGAGGAUAAGACUAAAUCUAAGAGGGAAUUACUUUAGGACAAAUUCUCUUUGGGGCCAAAAAGUGAUGCCACACUUGUUAAUUGUGUAAUCUCUUUUUUUUUGUAGCAUAUUGGAUUAUGCUUUAAUCAGAAAACAAAUUGACCUCGACUUGAGUAUUAUUCCAAUGUAGAUCUGCUCUUUCAUAUUACUAUGCCUAACUUGCGACAAUUCGAAGCAAUUCCUUUCACAUCACAUAAUUUAAUCAUUCCUUCAAUCAAAGUAAGAUUCCAAAAAGAAAUUAAUGAAACUUGCUUCGACAUAAAUCAGUUUCAAACCUUUCUUCUUUUUUUUUUUUGAGAGAGAUAGAUAGCACGCUACCCGCUUCGUUUAUUUUAUUUAGAAAUAAAUUUAGUUGGAAAUGUGAAUUAAUUAGGAUUCAAACUUGAAUCUCGGGUACCAACCAUCAAACCCUUUACCACUUGCUCUAGGAAUGGUCGGUGUUUCAAACUUUUCUUCAUCUAACAUAUUUGAUAGGAAUUAGAUCAAAUUUAAUAGAUCUGGUCAGAGGAUAGCGACCAAAAUCAAUUCCGCUAACAGUGUCGGUUUCAUGUCAAAUGAUUAGGCAACAUUUUCAAAGAAAAGAAAUUUUUUUUGAGCUUGUACAACUUCAUAAUAAAUACAAUAAACAGGGAAGUGAACAGAGAUGCAACAGUAACUUCAGGCUGCGUUUGGUUCGGGUAUAAGUAAGAACUGCUAGUUCUAGGGAUAGGUACAAGUUCAGGUAUAAGCAGGAACUAGACCAAUUUUGCGUUUGGAUGAAAAUUGGGUUGUUCCUAGGAAUAAGGUAAAUAGUGUUUGGAUGGUUAGAUUGGAACAAGAGGAAUAAGAGUUAUAAUUUGAAAUUAAAAUUAUAUUAUGUAAUUAAUAGUAAUAAAAAUAUUACUUAAAAAUAAAUAAGAAAUUAAUUAUUAAUAAUUAAUUAUAAAUAAUAAUAAUAAUUAUUAAUUAAUUAUAAAUAAUAAAUUAAUAAUAUGGAUUAUCUAAUUAAUUAUUAUUAUUAUUAUUAUUAUUAUUAUUAAUUAUUAAUAAAUAAUAAUAAUUAUUAAUUAUUCUUAUUAAUUAAUUAUAAAUAAUAAAUUAAUAAUAAUAUUGAUUAUCUAAUUAUUAAUAAUAAUUAAUAUUAAUAUUUAUUAAUAAAUAAUAAUAAUUAUUAUUAUUUAAUUAUAAAUAAUAAAUUAAUAAUAAUAUCCAUUAUCUAAUUAUUAAGAAUAAGAAUUAUUAAUUAAUUAUUAAUAAAUAAUAAUUAUUAUUAAUUAUAAAUUAUUAAUUAUAAAUAAUAAAUUAAUAAUAAUAUCGAUUAUCUAAUUAUUAAGAAUAAAAAUUAUUAAUAAUUAUUAAUAAAUAAUAAUUAUUAUUAAUUAUAAAUAAUUAAUUAUAAAUAAUAAAUUAAUAAUAAUAUCGAUUAUCUAAUUAUUAAGAAUAAAAAUUAUUAAUAAUUAAUAAUAAAUAAUAAUAAUAAUUAAUUAUUAAUAAUUAAUUAUAAAUAAUAAAUUAAUAAUAAUAUCGAUUGUCAUUAAAAAUAAUAAUUAUUAAUAAAAAAAUAAUGAAUAUUAUUAAUUAUUUAUAAUUAAUUAUAAAUAAUAAAUUAAUAAUAAUAAUUAUCUAAUUAUUAAUAUUUAAUUAUAAAUAAUAAAUUAUUUAAAUUAUUUAAUUAUUUAAGUAAUAAAUAAUAAUUUAAAUAUAUUAAUUAGAUUAAUUAAUAAUUUACUGCCAUUAAAAUUAAAUUUAGAUUUUAAUUAAUCUUGUUCUCAUCAAGGAACAAGUUUGUUCCAGAAAACGGGUGGAACAGCAGUUUCAGCCUUAUACCAGCUAGUUCCAGAUUCCCGGGAACUACUGUUCCCGGAAACCAAAAUUGCGUUUGGGAACAAAGGGGGGAACAAGGGCUUAUUCCCCCCCUUGUUCCCGAACCAAACACUAUCUCAAAGAAUCAAAGGAGAACAAAUACCUUCACUCACAUCUAUGCACACACAUUGGAGCUAGUAUUUUUGAAAAAAAAAAAGGAAGGAAAAGGACAUCUUGGGUGUUGCUAAAAAGGGACUCAGUAAACCAAAUGUGGCUCUCUUAGUUUUUAAUUUUAUAUAAAAAAAAAGAAAAGAAAAGGAAUAUUAGGCAUUAUUAGUAGGGCCAGUGAGGUGAGGAGCGGGAAUAGGGGGAGGGAGUAGAGGGUCAGAUUGUUGGCGCUAAUCAUUAAUUCUAAAAUUUUGAAUUAUUAAAAAUACACAAAUAAUUUAUUUAAAGUGUGCAGACACGGCGCCUACAGAUCUCUAUUGUGAUUCGGUCUAACCAGGCUCACACUACUUCUAACAUGAUUUGGCCUAACCCGACCUUCCGUUAUUUCGAACGUGACUCGGUCCAAUCUGACCUGCCGUUACAGAACAUGAUGAUGGUCCUUUUAAGCCAACGGACAAUAUCAAUUUAAUACAAUAAUGAAGACAAUCUAAGCUGUUUUAAUUUCUUCAACAAUAUUUUAAACCGAAUGCUUUUAAAUUAGUGAAAAGAUAUACUUACAAAUUUUUAAAGUUCACAGGAUGUGUAUGCUAUUGUAAAGUUUACAGGAAAAUAUUUUAAGUUGUCUUUAAAAAAGAAAAAAAAAAAAGAGGUGGCUUGGUCUACUGCACCAGGUCCAGCAAGCAACAGUGCCUCGUUUUCAAAUAUGAUUCGGUCCUUGACGAAUUAGGUGGGGGUUUGAAAAGUCAAAGUCAGCAACAAACGGGUCAACCACGCACGGCGACUUUGCUUCUACCCGAUAAUCCGGCCCAUCUAAAUUUCUAAAUUACCAUAAAUCUCUUCCUCCUCUUCAUCUGUCCAUGUCUCUGAAUUUACAAUAAACCAAUUCUCCCUUUUGGAUUACAACCUGAAAGGUAUUAAUUUUUUUUUUGUUCCUCAUAAUCUCUCUUUUUUCUUUUUCCUAUUUUACUUUGCUGAAUUAUUGAGAGAUAUUAUCUUGGCAAUUUUUUGAAAAAUUUAAUUAUUUACUCAGCAAGCUAGAUUAAUUGCUUGAUCUUACAUCCAUCAAGAGUAAUCUUAAACUGUUUACUUUUGAAUCAAUUUUUUGGAUAAUAUGUUAUCAGAGUAAGUUCUAAAGCCUAUUCAUUUAUGGCUAUUAUUUCGUUGUCUCUUUCAUUAUUUUCUCAGUUAGUUUGUGCAUGCAUAAUAGUUUAUCUAAUAUUCACCAUGCACGUGAAACACGAGCAUUCCUAGAAUGUAUAAUGAUUUAGGAUUUUGUUCCCUCAUUAAUUGAACAUUUGUCUUAAUCGCAUAUGGGUGCUAUUAGGAAGGCCUUUUAGGGAGGAGUUUGUAUGAUCAGUCUAAUUUUGAAGCAAUUGUAGAUUUAUCAAUGAAUUUCAGCAUGUUUUGUUACUUGAAUGAUAUUCUUGAAGUGCGCAGAAUUAUGAUUAAUUUCAGUCAAAUAGACAGAAAUGCUCAAAUAGCAAAAGUGGUAGGACUAAAUUAACUAAAAUUUUACCAACCAACGAUAAAUUUACAGUGUAUAUAUAUAUAGUUUCAUGAGUUCUUUCACUUUUUCCAGGUGAUAACUUUUACUGCCAUAUAUAGAAAACUGGUUUCAGAGAUCUUCUAGUGGUUCAGCUCAGUUACUGAAGAAUGUCUUACUUAAGAAGAUCAAGAAAAAGUGCUCCUGCGAAAGCCACGUCGUUGGAGGAGCAGCAAGCAAAGGUAGACACAUCUGCUUCAGCUUCGCCAUAUUGAGUAUCAAGUGAACCACAAACUUACAUGUCAAAACAAAUUGCCAUGAUCUUUUCUAUGCCUUAAGUAACUUCCAUGGCUUUUUUUUUAUAGAAUAUAAUGAUUGUAGUUCUAUAUCAAUCAGAUAAAUGAAGUUCGGAAGCUGAUAGGUUCUUUGGCUGAUCGUAUACCGAACUUCUGUUCAGAUGCUUGUAUAUCACGGUACCUGCGAGCCAGAAACUGGAGUGCAGAAAAGGCGAGUAAAAUGCUGAAAGAAACUGUAAAGUGGAGGCUCGAAUACAAGCCCGAAAGUAUCCGUUGGGUGAGCAAUCCAUAAUUUUUUUUGAAAUCUAUCAUCAAAUCGUUCAAUUUCGUAACUUAUGAUACUUUUUUUUUUUUUCUUUUCCACUGCGGUAACUCAUGAUACGUAAUCUGUAAGAAAUUAGCUCUUGAUGUUUAGCUAAGUCUGUUCAGUAUCAUUGUAGAGUUGGUUGAGAACACUGUUCUUUUUGGUGGAGUAUCAGUUGUAGAGAUGAUGCGAAUGUCGUGUUCCUUUAGAUCGACUAACAUAAGCACCUAAUUUUUACACUGAUCAAAUUUUAAGAACGAAAUUGACCGAGAUUCAAUCUGGGACGCAACAUCGCUAAAUACAAGACAUAUACCUUAGCAGUGUUACCUUGAGGGAGUUGAUGAUUAUGUUUCAUAACAUACUUGUUCAAAUUUUGUACAUUAUAAAAGUCGAAUCGAACUAAUUAUCUUAAACUAAUUCUGUACUGAUGUACUGUUUUUCACAAUUUUUAGGAUGAUAUUUCGCACGAAGCUGAGACAGGAAAGAUCUAUAGAGCUGAUUACGUCGACAAAUACGGAAGAGCUGUUCUUGUUAUGAGACCCGGAUUUCAGGUAGGAAAUUUACCAUCAAAGAAGGUCUUAAAUAUCAAGAAAUGCUCAUCACUGCUUCCAACUACCUUUGCACCUUUUCAUAUUUUGCUGCUGUUGUUGUAUCAGAAUACUACGUCGACAGAAGGGCAGAUCAAGUACUUGGUUUACUGCAUGGAGAAUGCUAUUCUGAGUCUGACGGCCGAUCAGGAGCAGAUGGUGUGGCUAAUCGACUUCCAAGGUUGGACGAUGGCGAGUGUGUCGGUGAAGGUGACUCGCGAAACUGCUCAUGUAUUGCAAGACUAUUAUCCCGAAAGGUUGGGGUUGGGGAUUCUGUACAAUCCUCCGAGGAUCUUCGAAUCUUUUUGGAAGGUAAAGAAUGUAGGAGAAUGCAGGAAAAAGGAAAUCAAAAUCUGCUUUUUGUAAUCUUACAUGUUGCAUAUUAUUGUAUUCUGACUAAGAUCAUUGUUACAGAUAGUGAAGCCUUUUUUAGACCACAAGACAUACAAGAAGGUGAAGUUUGUAUACUCCGACGACACCGAGAGCCAGAAGAUAAUGACCGAUCUUUUCGACGUGGACAAGCUCGAAUCUGCCUUCGGCGGUCGGAACCCCUGCGUGUUCGAUUUCGAUAAGUACGCAGAAAGAAUGAGAGAGGAUGAUAAGAAGAUGGAUGCUUUCCUGAACUCUGGUGGGUCUCUCCUGUCCCAGGAAAAGUCACUCAGUUCUCUGCUCCAAAAGACAGAAUCCUCAAUCUCCGAAGCGCUUUCGGAGGCCUCAUCUGAGGAUUCUUUCUCUAGUGCUACUGAAUCUCCAAAGCAAGAAGGAAUCAAAAGCCACUCAGAAAAUGGGAUGCAGGAACAUCACUGAUGCAAUGAAGCUACAGAAGCAGUUCAAAUUGACAAAAAAUCAGUUCUUCGAGCAGGACAUUUGACACUUUUAAGGAGGCUUCAUAUGAGCAAUAAGCACAAAUGCUAAUGCAAAUCGCGGAUAAUCUAUAAACAUCCAAUAAUUAAUUUACAGCAUUUCUAUCUAUUCAAGAACUACAGUCAAAAUUUUCAGCACUUGUCACGGGGUUAGCUUUUUCACCUUGAAAAUCCCCGCGCGACGCUCAAGUGUCGCACACCCGAGCCAGCCUUCUCGAGUCCUCUCCCUGGACAAGUCUCCCAGACUUAACAGCGGAAUACCAAUCCAAGCAUUUUGCCAAGCUUGCUCAUCCGCGAGACUUACAGCUCGGCCCUUCGCCUGUAAUCGAACCCCUCGUCGGACUCCUCGAGUUCCCAACGAGCAACCCCAAUACCGAGGUUGGCCACCAAGCUAGGUGCAUCUCGUCUUGCCAACCGAUCUCUCCUCGAGAGUGCUCCAUAACCGAAUGCCUUGUUGCCUCUAUCACUAGCCCCAAGGACAUUACAAGUUCUCCCCAACUUGUCCCAUAUGAGUAUAGCCAAGCGUUUCGCCUCCCACGCGUUUCGCUCCCGCGACUCGAUCCGCACGCCUCAAGCGUCGAGGUCCGGGCUUCGCGACAUCGCAUUAUAAUCUCAGUCCUUCCGCUAAAGUCGUUCAUAAAUAGUUACUUUCUUUUUUUUUUUAAAGAAAAAGUACCAUGCUACCACUUGAUUCAUCAGAUAAAUGAAUUCAAAUUAUAUAUUUAUUGUUGGUAAGUCAAAUUGUAACAAUUUUAAAGUUGAAAACCAAAAUGAAAUCUCUUGAAAGUUUGAGGGCAUUAAAUGCCUCUCACUUUGUUAUGGUGAGAUUCAAAGAAAAGAUUAUUUCAUAAGGAAUAUGAGAUGAGGUUCAACUCCCAACUCACUUGUAAGGUCAAUAACGGGCUUGUAAAUGGGCUGAAAUUGAAAACUUGGCCCACGACAAGUUCGCGACAUGGGCUAGGGCAAAAACAGUAGCUAAGGCCCGGCACGUUCCGCAAAAGUUGAAAAUUUUUUUUUUUUUUUUUGAGACGAUAAUAGGUAACUGAUCAACUGCUCUAGACAGUGAUUUUAAUUUGUGCUCGCCAAAUCAAUUCCAUUAAUAAGAUAACUAUUAUCUAGUAAUGUGGCAAUUUUGGGACCUCACGAACUCAUGAUCCCAAAAUUAUUAAACUUAUGAAUUUUGUUGUGGGUCCCGCAUGUGACAGCCACUAGAAACUAUCCCUUGUUGGACGGUUAACUUGUCCCCGGUUGGGGCCCGGAUCGAGAUCUUUACACGGACCUAAAGCCAUCCACGUCAUCCUCAAAGAACAUCUCGGGAUUUGGAGCCACGGUACACAAAUUUUUUCUCCAAUUGGGUGCGUUUUCCGGAACCCACAUGCACGUGUGGGCCCACGUGGCACCCAAAGCCCAAGACCAAUAAGGCCCACCAAAGGGCCCAUUAUGUAUUCGGAGUUAUUUACCACGGUUCACAUAAAUUGUAAAAAUUAUAUCAUAAACGAGUCAUUUAAACUAAGUAAAUUAAAAUUUUUGUCUUAUAUUUUUUCCACUGUAUGUUACACAUCCUCUCGCAUUAAAAAAAGAAAAAGAAAAAAAAAAGGCUAAAUCCUCACCAUAGCUUAUAUAGGGACAUGUCACAUGUUAUAGGUCAUGGGAUUUCCGUAGCCUAGUACCAUAUCCCUUCCGGAGGAGAAGUUCUACACUGUUACGUUUGCACCACGUCAUCAAUAAUAAGUCAAUCACAUAUCUUCUUUACAAACAAAAGUACAAUAAAAAUAUUUUUUUAUAAUCAUGAUGGGACAUAUAUUUUUAAAAUGAGUUAUUUGAUUGGUUUGUGACGCCACAUCACCAAUAUACCCGGUGUAUUCUAGAAUUUUCCCUUCCCGAGGUGGAACUAGCAUGGAUUGGACGGUUGAGAUCGAUUUAGGAGCAUCACGGUCAAUCACACAGUGUGGGUCCAUUCCAAGGAGAAAUUAUUCUAUGCACUCGGUGUAUAAGUGCAUCUCAUACACCACAGUUCUAAAACCUUUAUUAUAAAAGCCUUAAAAAUAUAAUAAAUUUUACGGCAUUUGAAAAGCCUAUGUAUUAAUAAAUAUAGUUCGAAUAUUUUUUUAAUUUUAAAACUAUAUAUAUAUAUAUAUAUAUAUAUAUAUAUAUAUAUAUNAUAUAUAUAUAUAUAAUCCACCUUUGAACUUUGUAAUAUGCUUCCAAUAUUACAUAUAUACCAAAACUAUAUAAGUUUUAAACUUAAAUAUUAGUUAUUUAAUAUGGAGUGCAAUACAUGAGAUGCACAUACAAUAAUUUAAAAUAAAACUAUAUAAAUUAUGUAAAAUAAUCAUUUCUCUCUAAAAAAAAAAAUAUUUUAUUAUUUUAUAAUCGAUCAUAGGAAUGCACCGAUCGAGUGUAGUUAAUAGUUUUUUAUUCCAUGGACCCUUUUUAUUUGACCUUGGUUACAUGACCAUAAUAUUUUAGGCUCGUUAGAUGUGACCGGGAUCGAUCUACUUGGAGCUCCUGUAUCCUUAAUUAAGCCAUAUUUUAUGGGAAUUUUGGAAUAACUUUGGGCAUAUGGAAUUUAAUUAGACUAAAUUUGGCUCCCAAAUUAUAAGAUGCGUGACAUUUUGAUUAUUAAAUUUUAAUUUAAUUAUUUUUUAAAAAAUAAAUUAUUAUAAUUGAGUUUUAUAUUCAAAUUUAAUUAAUUACAUUUUGACGUGUCGCUCAUAGAGAAGCGAUAUGAUACUUUAUUUAUUGUCAUAUUAUCGAUCAUAAUAUUGUACAUUAGUUAAUAUUUGCUAUACAUUAAUAUUUAGACAACUAAAUUGAAUUUAUAGAACUUGGUUAUAACAAUUUAGAAAAUUUGAAAAUAAAAUUAUCAUAAAAUUUAAAUCUGAAAAUCAGAGCAUCACCUGUAUAAUGGUUUGAGGACCAAAGUGUAAUUUAGCCAAUUAAUCAUGGCUAAAAGGGUCAUUUGAGUUAGAUCCAAAGUAACGGAUUUAAGAUAUGGACAUAGAUAAGAUAACACUAUUUGAAAAUAACACCUACUAACGUGCUUCUCUUUGUAUCUCAUGUUAAACAAUAUUUUAUCAAAGUCUACACUCCCUCUUUUGUGUGUUUGUGUGAGAGAGACGAGAGAGAGAGAGAGAAAGAGAGAGAGAGAGAGAGAGAGGGAGAUAUAGUAAUCCUAAAAGUGGCAAUUACAGUGGCCACUCGAUUAAGUACUAUAUAGUAUAUAUAAUAUGUAACAAUGUUGAUUACUAAGUCAUUGGAAUCAAUUAAGAGCUAGUUGUAUAAUAAAGUGUGUGUGUGUGUGUGUGUAUAUAUAUGCUAUAAACCUCGAUAUAUAUAUACAUUUUGUUUGUUCGCCUUUUUAGGAUGAUUCGUAUCCUUCAUGCAGAUUCACCGAGUUUCCCAUAAUUUAGGAUACAUAUCAAUAAAGUGCUAUUGUUCACUGGAUUAUGUAUCUUUAAAAAUUUAGAUUUUUUUUUCAUGCAUAAGGUUUUUAGGUCACCAUGCAUAGGGUAGCAUUGUUGGAUGAUAUCUUUUGUUGCUCUCCAUUUAGAUAAAUGUAUUUGUGAAAUGACAUUAAUCUAAAUUAACAAUUAAGUUCCUUUUAAUCGCUUCCACAUGUGAAACUAUAAUACUUAACUACAAUUAAAGGGCUCAGGAUCAUUCUAAAAAAGUAUAAGCUAUUAGGUGGAGACGCUCUCUAUAUUGUAUACAAAUCAAAAUUUCACUUCAUAUUCAAUAUGAGACUAUUAUUCUUAAUAACUAUCAUAUAACUAUCUAAUUUUCUAUGUAGAUUUAAUUAUUUCCAAAUUUGAUCUGAAAAGCUAAUAUGUCUCACAUGAUCAAUAGAUUUUGUUAGCAUCAAUUAAGAAACUAAAUUGCCACCGCUGAGCUCUCAUUUAGGCAUAACUAAUUCAAUUCUGAAGAUCAAGAAGAACAUUGUAAACCCUUUUUGUUUAGAUUUAUUCGUCUUUUUUUCCCCCCUCAAUUAACAGGCUCAAAUGUGGAUUUAUCCUCACUGAAUUUGGAGAACAUACAUAUUACCUCCCCUCCAGGCUCCAAAUGUUAUGCCAUGCAAAUAUAUUCUCCAUUUAUAUCAGGUUAACUUUCAAGCCAAUGUCCUGAAAAUUAAGGCCUGUUUAUCACAAGGAUUUUCCUAUUUAUAUUGUAUCUUAUUUUUGCCACAUGAAAGGUAAUAAUUUGUAAAAAUAACUCAUAGGUUCUGUUUAUUCUUCUGUUUUUUUGAAAGAAAGGGAGCAUGCUACUCGCUUUAUUUAUUUUUUUUAGAAAUAAAUUUAGCUGAAAAUGCAAAUCAACUAGGAUUCGAACUUAGAACCUGGGGUUCCGUUUAAUAUUACAGUUUAUAAUAUUUGGAUAAUUCUAUAUGCUUGCUAUUGAAAAUAUUCAAAUCAUUACAUUUCAAUUUAAGUUGGAUGGUGAUAAAAAAAAGAGCCCGUAAAUUAGUAAAAUUGUUGUACAUUUGUAAGUGUUAGUAAUACUAAAUUAUCAUGAAGUAUAAGAUAUGCUUAUUUUCAUACUUAAUAAACUUAUUAGUAGUUCAGUAAUAAAAAUAUAUUAGUUUUUAACAAUCUUUCAGCUCAAGUGACUGGAUAAGUUAGUAAUAAACUUGAUAUUUUAAAUACAAAAUAUACAACAUUUGGUAAUAUUACAAAUCUUGAAUGAAACGGACUGGUUCCACGGUUCCACCAAAUAAAGAAAUAGUGAAGAAAUAGUGAUAUAACACUUACAUUUAAAAAAGCUCUCUAACAGCAAAUUUAUAUAUUUAUGCUCGUACUCAGUAUAUGGCCCUCCUAAUUUUAAAUUAUCAUCAAGCCUACAAACCAACAUAGCUAACACCAAAUCUACUUAUUAACGCAUGAUAACUCCCCAAAUGAACCGGCCGGUCUACUUCGCCCGAGCCGGACCGAGUAUCCGAACCGAGCGAAGCUCCCCGGCUUUCCCGUUCGCAGUAACCCUCCCCGGCUCGGGCCCGAAUCGGACCGGCCCGGGCCCGACGGAGACCGCCUCGUCAGACCGGCAGCUGAGCAGCGACAUCCUGAACCGGUCGCGCUCGGCCGGAUCGAACCGGAGCUCCCCGGGGGCCGAGCCGGUCCGGUCGAGCCCCGGCGGCUCCGCCGUGGCCACGCUCCACACCACGCUGGCCUCGCUCGGCGCGUACGCGCACUCGCUCGCCGCCGCGCCGCCGAGGCGCCGCCGCGGGUCGAGGAGCUCGUCGAGCGAGCCGCGUUGGCGCCGCUGCGCGGAGAAGCUCUCGAGCUCGAAGAGGUCCGAGCUCGCGUCGCUCGCCGCGUCGUCGGGCGCCGCGGCGGUGGGGGCGUUCUCGGGCGCGCGUGGCCCGUCGACGGAUCCUCUCUCCGCGCUGUUCACCAUCCUACGCCCGAUCUCCGCUAGUAAAAGUGGCUUCUUUGCGUAGUACAACGUGGAGCGGUGGGUAAAGUUGUCACCUUUGGGCCAAUUCCCGGGCGUUAUCCUCACCUUCAUCCCCUCCUCGAAACCCACUUCGCGCUUCGUCUCUCUAUCACCAGUAGCUGCGACGCGUACGGUGGUCUCAACGCUCUGUUUCGAGUUCCCGUAAACGGAGCUCGGCCGAAGCGGGCUCUUCGGCUCGGAGAACUUCUCGGCGACUUCGACGGCGCCGCCGCCGCCGCCGCCGCCGCCGCCGCAGAAGCAGCUGCGGCGGAAGAGCCGCCUCCCGACGGCGGCGUAAUUGCCCUUCCGCGGGCCCUUCAACGGAAACGCGGCGACGGAGCGCGGCGCAUUGGCGAGGAGCCCCGAGUGGCUGUUCCAGCUCGCCACCGACGAGGCGGUGGGGGUGCCCGCCGACUCGUUUCGGUAAAUUCGGCCGUAGCCGUCGACGGAGGAGGGGCGCGGGCUGGCCAGGACGGCGGGGCGCUUCGUGGCGGAGCUGCUGUGGCCGGCGCCGUAGUAACGCUCGGCGCCGAAGAUGCCGAGUUCGGCCUCUUCGGUGCGGCGAAGGCGAAAGAGAGGGGGCGAGGAGAGGGAUGGCGGAGGAGGUUUGGAUAGGUUGGUGGGCUGGGGAGGAGAGAGGUGCGUGUGGCAUGUUGGGGUGAUCCUGUAUCUAUCCAUGGUUACUUACGCUUCUGUUCGUGUGAGAGAAGAGGAAUAUGGGUGGGGGAGGAGGAGGAAGAAGAUGAAAGUGAGUGCAACUUCUAGGGGGGCUGUAUAUAUAUAUAUAUAUACUUCUCGGAGGUUUGGAAUUGCGCUACUCUGCGUUGGAUUAGGAAAAUUACAUCUGGAAAAGAAAAGAAAAUAAAAUAAAAGAAAAAAAAGAUUACGAGGGAUUCGCAUUUGAUUUGGGUUUGAGCACAUGAUGCACAUCGACAAUAGAUGAGACGUUUAGUGAGGAUCAUCAUCUGUAAAAGUUUUCUUACGGCGUGGGAUUUGUUUAUUAUUUGCAUGGAAAAUGCCUAAGCUACCCCUCUUGUGAGUACCGUUCUUACCACUAUAUUGGACGGAUUCACAUUACAUCAAGUUAGUAUACACGCAUGAUUUAUUAGCAUGCUACAACUGUAAUAUUUAAUUAACUGCACACCUUUUAUAAUUUAUACACAGCAAUGGUAAUCCUACAAUCACUCCUGAUUGUAAUUCUACAUUUGUAGCAUUCAACUGCUCAUAUUUCUCUUCUACUCUUAUAAUUUUUCAUUUAUUAACAAACUUUUAAAAAAGUAAAUAAAUCCUAGGAAAUAGAAUUAAAGAAAAAAUUAUAAUUCUUUUUGAAUUGUACACUUAGCAUAUCUCUUUUGUGUAUGUCAUCAGCUAUCCAGUAGACGUAAACAUGCAUCCCAGGAGCGUGACAUAUUUGGCCUUUGAGUAAUCUAUAUAAUAACCAUAUAAUACACCUCUUCAAAUUUUCUCAAACUAUUUAUCUCAACUGCAAAAUCAUAAACUCCCAUAGAAGCUAUUUUUAAAUUUUUAAAUCAUAUUUUUCGCUUCUCCCCGCCAUAGAAGCUUUAGCCUUUUUUAAGAAUCAAAUAAUUUACGCAAAAAAAAAAAAAACUGCAGCUACAAAUACAAAUAGAAAUACCAGUUCGAAGUUUGCCUUUUGUUUGACUCCCUGGUAGAGAGAGAGAGAGAGAGAGAGAGAGAGCGGGAGAGAACAAAACUUAAGGGAGGGAUCAACCCACAAGCGAUUGUUGAAGCCACGCUGCAAAAUUACAACAAAUUGGAAAAGUGAUUAGGGCACAUUUCUCUUCCAUGCACAACAGAAACAUUAUGCUACUGAUCUGAUAUGCAAGAGUGACCAACUUAUGCUUCAAUAUCAAUAAGCAACACACACAGAAUUAUUAUUAUGAUCCAUUAUUACGACAGCCCAUGAGCUUUGAAGCUUUUUAACAUUCUUUCCGAGCAAAGAUAACAGAGUACAUCUUCCUAAAAGUGCUUCACAGAAAAGAUAAAGCUGAUAAAACAGUUUAACUUCUCAACAUGACCUCCCCAUGUUCGGAGGGUCCAAGAAUUGAUCCCUAUCAUUCUUAAUGGGCUGUGAUUGGCCUGGCAACAACCGGGUCGAGCCCUCUCAGACUCGGCUGGGCCUGAUUAACAGCCUAUUCGGCCCAACUUCUUCUUUUGCUGAGCAACAGGAGUCUCUCUAAACGAGAAAACUAGAUUCUGACCCUGAAAACAGAAGCUUUAAUACACUGCUCUUCAUUCUACUGUAGAAAGACCAUCUGAUAGCACCAUUCAAACAAUACUUUAUCAAACAAACUACACCCUACAGUAAGGCCUAAUAGGUGCUAAAAACGGGCGAAGGUCGUGAUGGCACGCUGGUGUCACCAUCAACCACUGCCAAACAAAAACUCUGUUGACGUUCUUUGUGUUGUGUGCUGGAGAUACUGUUACAUUUCUCCCGGUGCUAGCUCUAAAAUAAAGCAACAAAAUACCUAAAAUGGACUAAAAUGUAGCAAAUCACUGUAAUAGCAAAAGAUUACAUGCAGUCACUUCCGUAAUGAACUAAAAUAAUUGUGAAUUGCUUUAUUAGAUCCUAUAUUCACGCAAGCCCGCCGAAAAAGAUCCCUAUUAGAGGACCAGAAAUUAGAGAAUUCAACAAGAACAUACAAAAAUGCAGACUUUAUAUGAUGAAUAGCCCGGUGGAGCCCUCUCCAUAACGAUUAAUUAUCAGAUCAAACAGUUGAUUAAUCUAGAAUAACUUCCAACAGCCAACAAUGACAGCUUACCAGAGAAGUUGGAUCACUAAAUAUUCUCUGAUUUGAAUAGUUGCACCAUAGUGGACAGCAACAGAUCUGGAGGAUGUAGCGAACUGCGUACAUGUUAUCGCUUGACCCAUUGGAAGCUCUUCCUGGCUUUUGCCUUCCCGGGCUUUUUCCUCUCAACCACACGUGCGUCUCUUGUCAAAUAUCCAGCUGCGUGAAAGCACAUGCAAUAUGUCAUUAACUUCAAAAGUCAUAAAUGAUUUCAGCCUUAGCAGAUACAUUCAUUCAACUACUUAGUGUUGGAAACGCAAAACAAGGAUUUAGUUGGAUUUAUAUUAGAAAUGCAUAACAAGAAAUGAUAAUCAAGAUUCAAUGAUAAUGGAUUUGAUUUUCUAGUUUACCUGCUUUGAGGUAUGGCCGGAGCCCCGGUUCCCAAUUUUGCAAGGCCCUGCUGAUUCCCAAGCGAACUGCUCCUACCUGACCUGCAAAUGAAGCAAAGCAAUCUCAUGUCAAGUGACAAUGGAAUGUUCUAUCAUAUAAUCAGGAAAUCUUAUAUUACAAUGUUUUCGUUUGCAGCAUGCAAACAGAAGAGCAGCAAAGUUGUUAAAGCAAAUACAUCUAAAUUCUCUUAAGCGAGAAUGUGUCCACAACACUGGGAGAAUACAAAGUGAACCAGUUUUCUACAAGCAAUACUGUCAGAUGCCGCAAUAUUCACAAGGAAAGAAAGGGUUCACGUAUCAAAUAUUAGAAGUGGAUCACUUCGCUAACAAUACUCGGUAACCUUCUCUAUAUAAUAUUGUUGGAGAAGCUAAAAUGGCAACGUCACCUAAUCACAGAUAAGUAGAUUUGUUUUUCUAAAUUGGAUCAACAGUAAUAAUAAGAGAAUUAAAUUUACACUAUAAAAGCCCACAGUUAACAGGGCAUUUCAGAAAUGCAUUUACCAGUUCCAGGCAAAUCAUUUAAAGAGCUGUUUACAAUAUUUGAUUACUUUACCUGAGACACCACCGCCUUUGACAGUGCAGUUUACAUCCCAAAGACCCAAGGUCUUUGUCACUGUAAAUGGACGAAGUAGUUCAGCUCGAUGAUCCAGAAUUGGAAAGUAAGCAUCAAACUGCUUAUCGUUCACAACGAACUUCCCAUCCCCAGGCUGAAUCCAGACACGGGCCACACUGCAUUUCCUUCUUCCAGUCCCAUAAGCCCUUCCUUUCUCAUCAACUUGUCUUACACGUGCUUGCGCAAUUUCCUCCUGUUUCUUCCUCUCAAUUUCAGCUCUGCUGGAUGUUGCAUUCAAUCUUGCUAUAGCUUUGUCUUCUAUUUCUCUCAAAGGAGGUAGCCCUGGAACAUUUCUGACAUCCUUUAAGAGGAUCAAACUGUCUAUCAUAUCCUCGGUGAUUCCAGAUGCUGCAAUUAGAUCUCCGAAAGCCCGAUUUGGACCUGAAAUUUUUUUAAACAAAAUAAAUAAAUGAUAACUCAAAAAAGAAUCUUUGUAUACCAUAACCGAGCAAUGAGAUACAUCAUCAUAUAGCUUCUUCAUUCCAUAAAUAUUUAUACUAUUAAGGUCAGGUCAGCAAGAUUCAAAGUUCUCUCUAUCAAGUUUUGGAUACAUGAUAUAUGCACGACGUACAAAUCAAUAGUCUAGCUGCCACCACUUCUGCAGGUGACUUGUGUAGCCAGUCAAACUACUUAUGUCCAAUUAAGUUGGCACACUGCCCACUUUCAAGUGUGAAGCAAUAUUGUACAGAAGCAAGUGUUCAAUGCUAAAUAAGUAAAAUUUGACCUCGAAGAUACAAUUUUCUUCUAUAUGAUAAAUAAAAUUAAAAACUAUAGAUUUGUUUUGCAGCAAAUAAAAAGAAAUAGAAAGGAUAAACAAUAUUGUUGUCCAGCGGCUCGGGUAAUGAAAAUAAAUGUCACUUUCUGUUCCAGAGUUAAGUGUUUAAGCAACAAUUCACACCGUGAUAAUAUCAUUUUUGUUCAUGAUAGAACUUUCAGAACAAUAAUAAUAUUGACCUAAAACUAGAAAUGUAUUGAUUUGGAACAUACGCUUAAUCAUUUCACUUUUUAUCCAGCAAAACAGAGGCCUGCUUACAAAGCUAAAGUAAUUAACAACUAGCAAGAUUCUUGCUUCACUAAAUAUCAGAUGUUUAUAUAUCUAUAUUUUCCCAGUAGAACACUGUAAAGUCAUAAGACUGACUAAGAAACAUCAGCAUAUACCAACAAAAUUUGAAGACCCCUUAAAGGUAAGGAAAAAAUCUAACAAAUCCAUAACACCAGUCUCGGAGAAACUAGAAAGGAAGUUCUUUUUGAUGAGCUUAUGUUUCCUCAAAAUAAACUUAUAGGACUGUCAACCAACCUAUGGAAACCCAUAUAUAAAUCUAAGAGUUGCCUCCCUAUCUAUAGGUUCAUUUCAGAACUUCAAACAAGUAUACUUGGAUCCAAUACAAUUCUAGAAGGAUCCUGCAAAGGCUAGUACACUACUGUUGCUGUCUAAGUUGCUAAGCUUUAGAACUAUUCAGUCAGAUAGCAUAAGCAGAAGCAGAUAGCAUGAGCUCUCCUCUCCAGAUUCUCAUCCUGAUAUCCAAUAACUACCUUUAUAUAUGAAGCUUUGAAGAUCCUUGUACGUCUAUUUGCAUAUAUGUCAAAGAAUUUUCUCAUGUAAACAGAAAAGGCAGAAUAUGGUUCAUCUACCCGACCUAUCAUAUACUUCAUCAUACAAACAAUGUUUACAACAGAUCAAAUUAUUACAAGGUUCGCAGAAGUUCAUCUAAGCGAAGUACCUUUGAGCGUCUCUAAGAGCUCUUUCUCCCUCUCUUCCAGUUUGUGCUUCUCAUCGGCGACGUCCUUCUCAGCCUCCUCAAUCUCCCCGCCAUCGAUCCCUUCGAUCCCUCCCUCUCCUAGCUCUUCAGCGCCGAACACAUCGCCCGUCUCCUCAUCCUCCCCCAAUGUCCACGGCUUGUACCCCUCAACCGUUCCCCACUCUUCCUCUCCGACGCCUCCCCCUCCCUCCUUCGAGGCGACCUCCCGAUCAAUGUCCUCGAACACAUCGCCCUUACCGUCCGCCGCAGCGCCCUCCGCCCACGGAUCACCGCUUCCGCCGGUGAAUCCCUUCACGGCGUCCUCCGCCGCCUCCGAUCCGAAGGCCUCCUCGCCGCCCUCGGCGAUCUCGCCGAAGACGGAGUCGACCUCGUCGGACUCCGGAGAGAGCUUCCAGGUGCCGUCGUCGUCAUCGCCCCCGUCGCCUCGAGAGGCCGAGUAGAAUCUCAGCGAUCGGAGGAGGAAGCUUCGAGUCGGGUCGCGACCAGAGAAAGGGAGGCGAGGAUUGGGGCGUGGCGGUGGAGGGAGGAGAGAGGAGGAAGAGGAGGACGAGAAUAGGGUUAGGGUUUGGAGGCGGAGGGGGAGUGGCCGGGAAAAGAGUCGGCGGAGCAUCGUGGGAGGAGGAGGAGGAAGAAGACCAUUUAGCAGGUCUAGGGUUUUAGAGGUUUUCUUCCGUUGGGUUCUAUUAACCUCUACAGUAGUGUAGAUGGACCCGACCGGAUUUAACACUAAGCCCGCUCAAAUCAUAGGUAAAAUCGUAAUGCAAUAACGAAAUAAGUCAGUUAGUCAGGUUAACUCUAACCGUCCUAUCAACUGAUGCAGAUCACAAUUAUGGUUCGAUACUUACUUCUAGUUAAUUCUAACAAUGUUCUUGGAAAGUUUGAAAAAAAAUUUAAAGGCAUACAUGAAUCAGCGUCCAAACACAAGAUGUUUUAAAGAAAAUAGUAAGUAAUAUGUGUCAGAUCAAGUAAAUUGUCAGAGCAAAAGUUCAAUUUGCAUACGGUGAAAUUAAUUAGACUUGGCAUAAUAAAUGAGUAUAUUAGAGGAGAGAUUAGAGAUCAAAAUUAGAAAAAUAUGCAUAAAAAGAGUAGAAAUCAAUAACGCAAUUAGUCAUAAAGAUUAAGAAUUUAAUUAUAAAUAUAAAAAAAAAAUUAGGAAGCAAAAUUGAAAAAUGAAGUAAAAGUUGGAACCCAUGAUGCAAACGAACUUCGCUCGGACAUGUUUUCGCGGUAGCUACGGCUCUUCCCACUCGUCAAAGUCAACAUGACUCUCUCGCCUCUUCUCCCCCUCUUUCCCCGACUUCAUCUUCUCGCUCUCACUCCUCCCGAGCUCCGCAGCAAUGGCGACGCUACGCACGCUACUGCGAGAGCUCUUCUCUCUCGCGACCUACAUGAGCCCUCUCGUGGAGAAGGUGGCCGAGGCCGCGGUGGACCUCGGCCGCGCCGGCGCCGCGUCGGCGUUGGGCUCCCUCUCCGACGUCCUCUCGGUGGACUCCAAGCUCGAGGAGCUCCGCCGCAUCGUGGGCCGCAUCCACGCCCUCCUCAGGGACGCCGAGGAGACCCGCUUCGUCGAGGACGCCGCCGUGCGCAACUGGCUCCGCGAGCUCGGCGGCGUCGCCCUUGACGCCGACGACGUCCUCGACGAGUUCCGAACCAUAGUCGACGCCCAGAAGCUCCGGAUCGACGAUCGGCGCCGGAAGCGGAAGAGGCCCUGGUACGAUCUCUCCUCGUCCUGUUACCCUUGUGUCGCAAAUCUCCUCCUCUUGGUCCAAAGAUGGAAAAUUUCGACCAAAAUAGUGGAAAUUAUGGAGAUUUAUGAUGGGGUUUGUAAGGGUAGGGAGAAUCUCCAGAUGAAGGAGGGCGAUGCGACGCGGAGGGCCAUGCGGAGGGGAAAUGAAGGCGAUGCGCUCUUGGCGCCCGCGGGGUCUCUCGGCGGCGAAGUCCGGGUUGUGGGAAUGAAUCAAGAGAGGGAGAGAGUUGCUGAGUUGCUGAAUUCGAUGGAUGAGGAUGCAAUUUCCGUAGUUUCGGUUGUCGGUGCCGGAGGAACGGGGAAGACGACGCUCGCGAGGCGCGUCUUCGGCGAUGAAUCUGCAGACCAGCUGUUUGAUCUGAGAAUUUGGGUCGGCGUUCCUCGCGGGUGCGACGUCGAGAGGGCCACAGGAGAGAUAAUUGAGGCGAUAACGCGAGAGAGUUGCUGUAGUAAAAGCUUGGACUCACUGCAACGGCUCCUCGGGGAGCUUGUGAACGAGAAGCGCUUCUUGCUCGUGCUCGACGAUUUGUCGAACGAAGACCUCUUCUUCUGGGAGAUAUUGCGAGCUCCUUUGCUGAAAGGAAAGAAAGGAAGCAAAGUGCUAGUAACUACAAGGAGCAAUGUGGUCUCGCGGAACAUGCGGUCGUCGCACCCCAUCCACUUAACCGGUCUCAGCGAGGAUGAUUGUUGGUUGAUUUUUCGUGAGCACGCGUUUGAUCAGGGAGUUUGGGCUCAGCACCCGAAUUUGGAGCUAAUCGGACAAGAAAUUAUCCGCAAGUGUCAGCACUCGCCUCUGGCGGCCAAAUCGAUUGGUGGACUAUUGUAUGGUAAUACCGAUGAAGAGGAGUGGAGAAGUGUUCUAGGUGAUUUGCCUGAAACUGAAGAAGAUGCGAACAAAAUCCUGUUGACUUUGAAGGUGAGUUACGAUUACUUGCCGUUUCAUCUGAAACGAUGCUUCGCGUUCUGUUCUGUAUUUCCUAGCGGCCACGAAUUUGAUCGAGAUGAGCUGGUCAAGUUGUGGAUCGCAGUAGGUUUUAUCAAGCCCAGGCGGAACAGGUCGUUGGAGAACAUUGGCGGCAAGUAUUUUGAUUACUUACUGUGGAGAUCAUUUUUCCAGAUAUCCAAUGGUCGUAACCAAUCGAAACCAAAGUUUAAAAUGCCGGGCCUAAUCCAUGAGUUAGCGCAGUCUGUUUCUGGGUGUGAUUGUUUUAGAUUGGAUGAUGAUGCAGUGAACGAUGAGCCAGAGAAUGCUCGCUAUUUCUUAUCACGUACAAGCAGUAUGGACGACACAGCUUACUAUAAAAUUUACAAGAAUACAAGUUUACGGGCUUUAGUACUUCAGAAUGCCGAGAAUUGUGUAACCGCCGCGCCAGUCCGAGAUGAUUUAUUCUUGAAUCUAAGAUAUUUGCGUGCCUUAGAUUUAAGCGACAAUGGAUUGACAGCAUUGCCAGACUCGGUUGGUGAUUUAAUUCACCUUCGGUACCUCAAUCUCCACAGAACACAAAUAGAGAAGUUACCCGAAUCAAUAUGCAACCUCUAUAAUCUUCAAGUAUUGGAGCUGGGUGAGUGUCGGAAUCUUGCAGAGCUACCGAAAGGCGUGAGAAAUCUAAUUCACCUAAGGCAUCUGGGAUUGCAUCUGGACUGGGCGGGGCAAAGAAGUAAUUGGACUGAUUUGAUUUCCAUGCCGCCAGGAAUCGGCAGUCUAACUUCUCUUCAAACGUUGUCGAGGUUUAGUGCGUCCUCUGAGAGCGCAUGCAGUAUCGGGCAGUUAAAGAAUUUGCGAAAUCUCCGAGGAGAGCUGUGCAUCUCGAAGCUCGAAAAUGUGCUCGAUGAAAAUGAAGCCAAAGAAGCCAAUUUGAGAAAUAAGCCUUUUGUUGAUGCUGUUAUGCUGCGGUGGAGCGAGGGGGGAAACGGGAGCUUCUCUACUUCAGGAAGCCGGCCAGGAGAAGUGCUCGAACACUUGUGCCCUAGCACCAGACUCAAGUACUUACAGAUAGAGAACUAUAACGGCGCGAGAUUUCCGAAUUGGCUCGAGGAUCCAUCCUUUUCAUCUUUAGAGACGCUGCGACUCUCCAACUGCAAACAAUGCGACACCCUCCCGCUCGUCGGGAAGUUGCCCAAACUUAAACAUCUCUACUUCGAAGGACUACAUGGAUUAAAACAUAUGGGCCAUGAUCCUUUCAUUGGAUUUCCGUCACUGGAGAUGCUCUACGUUUCGGACAUGAGUACAAUGGAGAGCUGGUACGAAGUAGGAGAAGGCGCAAUGCCGCGCCUUAGGAAACUCGUCGUCUCAAAUUGCCCGCGGUUGCACGAACCGUUUCAGCUCGCAAACUCGCUUCAAAGGGUCGAAAUAAGAGAUUGCCCGAUGAUCACAGCACUGCCGCAGGAAAUGCCGGUCUCGCUCGAGCAUUUGGCCAUUACCGGAUGCCCCGCGCUGCAGCAAAGUUGCCAGAUGGAUGGAUCUGAGUGGCCCAAGAUACAGAACAUCCCUCAUAAAGCAAUUGGUUGAGAUUUUGAAUCAUAUACCUUGUAUGGCAAUUUUUCUAUUUUACUCAUUUGUAAUGAGUAACAUUUCAAAUUUCGCCAUUUAAUUAAUGCUUGAUGUAACAGCGAUGUAGCAGAGUUGAUAAUUUAGCUCUUGUAAUGCGACAGUUUGUUCAUGUUGUGGUUAAAAUAGCACCAUUUUUUUAUUUUUUCUAUAAAAUAAAAAUAUCUAAUUAGUCAUCAUUAUGUUUGUAUAAUUAGAAAGUAACAAUAUUUAUCUCCUGUUGUGAUACUGACAUGUGGACCCCACGUGUCAUCCUCAGCAUUGGGCCAACGGCCCAAAACCAUCAAAAGGCGAGCGCACGAAUCGGUACCGUCCGUUGGGUCCGUAAUUUCCAUUGGACAACAGCGUCGUUAAAUAUAAGUUAUUUUGACUUAUUUAAGUAUUAAAAAUUUCAUUACACUUGAUAUAAUUUCAUUAACUAUAAGUUCUUAAUUAUUUCAAUCUUUAUUUACUGGAAAAUAACUAAAACUAUUAAAUUCAAUAAUCUUAUCCACUAGUUUAAUAAAAAUUUCAAGCUAUGUUAAUUGAAGGGUCUCCGUUUUUUUUUUUUUUUUUUUAAACCAUGAAUGAAACAAACGAACACGACGAAGCUCUCUCCGCCUCACUCGAUCCCGCUUCUACAGUUUAGACCCGAACACUACGGGGUGAGAGAGAGAGAGAGAGAGAGAGAGAGAGAGAGAGAGCAUAAGCUGUAUGAGAACAACGACAACAACAACAUGAUAAAAACUCUAUCUUUUUCCCCCAACCAUCGUGUUCUACGAUCCAGAGAUUAGCGGUUUCUGUGUUCUAUGAAGAAUUUGGGCAAAUGGGUGUCGAUUGGUUUCAUGUUUUAGCCAAUUCUCUCUGUAAAAAUUUGAUUUUUACGUCAAAAAUUCCGCAGAGAAUGCUUGCGUGAUGAUCCGAGGCUAAAAAUGGCCGAUAGGAGCACACAAACGCUAGGGAUCGUUUGCCCUAGACCCUUCUUCUGGCUCUUCGCCAUUGCCGCGCUCUUGUUCUUCGUCUCCUGGUUCCUCCUCCUUGACUCGACCUCUCCUCCGCAUUUCAUCGAACACAUGGUUCCCAAUCCAAAGCCCUCUUUUAAUUCAAAGACCCGAGAAGCCGAUUCGUCUCUACACAACGCACACUCUUCGUUUUCGGAUAGUAAUGGCCCCCGAGAGCACGAAACCGCGGAGUGCGAUUCCAAUAAUGCGCUUUUGAAGGUGUUCAUGUACGAUUUGCCGCCGGAGUUCCACUUCGGCUUAUUGGAUUGGAAGCCGAAGAAGGCCGGAAUCGUGUGGCCGGAUCUCGGAGAAGUUCCGGACUACCCGGGUGGCCUAAACCUUCAACAUAGUAUAGAGUAUUGGCUCACAUUGGAUCUCUUGAAUUCUCGAUCGAGAUCCGGACCGUGUGUUGCCAUAAGAGUUCUCGAUUCGCGCGAUGCCGAUGUAGUGUUUGUUCCAUUCUUUUCUUCGGUGAGCUUCAACCGCCAUUCGAAAGUUUCCCCGCCCGCGAAAGUUAGUAGGAAUAAGUUGUUGCAGGAUAAGUUGGUGGAGUUCUUAACCUCGCAAGAGGAGUGGAAGAGAUCGGGGGGCCGAGAUCAUGUAAUUUUGGCUCAUCAUCCCAAUAGCAUCUUUGAUGUGAGGUUGAAGUUGUGGCCUUGUAUGUUCAUUCUCUCUGAUUUCGGGCGGUACCCGCCGACCGUGGCCAAUGUGGAGAAAGAUGUGAUUGCGCCUUAUAAGCAUGUGAUUGGUAACUACGUGAACGAUUCGGCCGGGUACGAUGAUCGACCGACUUUGUUGUAUUUCCAAGGCGCCGUUUAUAGGAAAGAUGUAAGUGAUUUGCCAAUUUUCGUUGUCUCGAUCAUAAAUUCUUCCUUUUUUUCGUUCAUUUAACUUGUUAUCUAUGAAUCGAUACUCAUGCCAAAUCAACUUUAGGUGAUAUAUUAGUGAAAAUUUUAAGUGGUAUGUCUAGGAUAACACUUGCGGAUGCUCUUAAGCAAUUCAAGCAUAAAGUGAAGUUCUAAAAACUGCAAUUUCUUUUACUCAUUGAAAUUCUCAUAUCGCAAACUCAUUCAGGGAAUAACCUUAUGAUGUAACUCAUCGAACAAUUUAAUAUGCUUUGUUCUACAGGGUGGAGUCAUCCGACAAGAGCUAUUCUAUCUUCUUAGAGACGAGAAGGAUGUGCACUUCUCAUUCGGAAGUGCAGUUCGGGACGGGGUCAAGCAAGCGACGAAAGGCAUGCACUCGUCCAAAUUCUGCCUGAACAUCGCGGGCGACACCCCAUCCUCCAACCGCCUAUUUGAUGCCAUAGUGAGCCACUGCAUCCCCGUAAUCAUCAGCAACGAGAUCGAGCUCCCUUUCGAAGACGUCCUGGACUACUCCGAGUUCUGCGUCUUCGUGCGCGCUUCUGAUGCUGUAAAGAAGGGCUUUUUAAUUAAGCUGAUUAGGGGCAUAAGCAGGGAGGAGUGGACCCGCAUGUGGAAGAGGCUCAAGGAAGUAGAGGGCUACUUUGAGUUCCGGUACCCGUCGGAGAAGGACGAUGCUGUGCAGAUGAUUUGGCAGGCGGUUGCUAGGAAGGUGCCUGCUAUUCGAUUGAAGGUACAUAGAUUGAGGCGGUUCACUCGGUUUAAAGGUGAUGAGAAAAGCAAGGAUUUGCCUGAUGAUUAUUAUUGGUUAGGGAAGCAAGUUCCCAGCUUUUAGGACAUCAAAAUUUUCCCCACUUAGCAGUUCCUGUUUCAUGUGAUGAGAUGGUUGACCUGAGAUCAAUCUCAAAUUUUUCGUUUUAGCGAUAAACAACGAAGAUCCUCAUAGUGAAUUGACGAAAUCAUUACACAUGAUACAUAUUUGGUCGGCAGCCUCCAGCAUCUUCUCCAUUUUGUCCAUUUUCUCACAAAUUUCUAUUGAGCUUGUUCAUAACUGCAGUUUUGUGACAAUAAAUAAUUGUAUGUAAAGUUCUAGUAUUACUUGAUAGUGCAGCUAAAUGUAGUGAUUACACAUUCAAUUUAACUUGUAUUCAAAUUGAAUUGUUGUUUUGAAAUUGUUUGCAGCUAUCAAAGAAGAUCGGUUUCUGAGAAUUGUUGAUUCCUUGGAUACAUACAUUCUUAUUCUGAUUUUUAGUCACAAGAGUUCGUGUCGCAUUAAAAUGUGGCUACAACUAUUAAGCUAUUUGCUGUUAAAUAUAUUGCUGGAAAUAAAUUGUAACUUGCGUUAGACAUAUUUCCUCCUCUUCAUCAGAAUAAAGUUUUCUCAGAUCAGAGAACUUAUCCGAUAUGAAGAAUCUGUCAAUAUAGUAGCAUAUAAUUACAAUUUUAAUUAUUAAAUCAAAUUUUCUUCCUCACACAGCUUCUGUUUUCUGGAAAAGAGCCAAAAGUCUACAAGCUCUUUUGUGAAAUCUUUUUCCCUGCCUAUUAUAACAGUUUUGUGGUUAGCACCCUUAAUGAUGAUAAGAUCUGCGAGUGCAAACUUUGAUUUCAUAUUGUAGCUACAUUCGAUCGGAACCACCUGAUCUUUAUCCCCGUGGAUUACUUUGACCGGUAUCCCCGCCUUUUUCACGACUUCCAAAUGCUUAUCCUGCAACUUUGCCCCUCCGCAGAUCACAUUGUGCAUUGUAUGCCACGCCGAAUGAUGAGUAUGCUUAGGUAUGUCCCUUAUCACAAAGUUCAGGUCCCUGCAGUAAAAUUCAGUAAAUGGAGUUAACAAAGGCAUGAACAGCUAAUAGAUGGCGUGUUAAAUCGAUCGAAUUGUUACCUUUUCCGCAUAAUUGUUUUCAAAAUCCACUCCCAUAUCAAGUGGUUUCUGCAGUAAACAAAGCAAACAGUUCUUCCUACAUGUUCAUACCAUGACAUGACAGAAGACCCAAACAGUAAUGGUGGCCAAAUUUUCCUCUCAGCAAGUUUGUUCAGAGUAUUGUAGCUUGCUUUCGCAUCGUCUGAAGGAAAAUAUGGCUGCGCACAAAUAUCGUAACGGUGAACAAAAGUUAGAGAGUAAAUUUACGACGAAAAGCAUUACCUUAAUCUGAGAAACCAUUGGAACAAAUGAAUUGAUACUCACUGGUGCAACCAAUGUGAUUGAUUCAACACAUGUUGGAUACUUUGCAGCUAAGGCGAGCGCAAUGAUACAACCCAUAGAAUGAGCAACUAAGUGGAAAGAAUUUAGCCGAAAUGGUUCGAUUACCGAUCUCUCGAUCAUUUUGAUAUGAUCUUUUACUCGAUACAAACAAUUUGCCGGUUUCGGGCUUCUUCCGAAGCCCAGGAGAUCCACCGCAAACAUCCUAAAUUUUGAUUUUGCUGCAGCUUCAGGAAAAAUUGUCUCCAACCAAAACGAGGAUGAAGAGAGGAAUCCGUGUAUGAAAAGCACAUUUUCCGAAGAGUCUAUCUCAUUUUUGCUUUCUGCCGCAAAAGCCGAGAAUAAGGUUGCGUUAGUAUCGACCUUUUAAAUGCUAGUAAAUAUUAGAUUAAGAGAUGGUUUAUUUUCACCAAGAGAUGGUUCCUUGACGACCAAAUGAAGCCUAUCCUCUCCUCCUCUGUCCCGAAAAGUGCCGCUGCCGCCGACGCAAGUGUCGGAACUGCAAUCCGACCACCGGCGACACCCGGAUACGCCUCUUUCCUUCUCCCCGCCGCGACUCCUCAUCCUCAAACUAAGAAUACCCAUUCCCCUAAAUAGGUUCUUUCUCCCGUGCAACGUCUCCGACACUUCCUCUCUCUCCUCCGCUUCUUCCUCUUGCUCGUUUUUCUCCCCGUUAUUAACAUAACAGUAACAUGGUAUUGGGCUCUCUUCGACGACGCCGUCUACGAAGCUAUAGACCAAGCAUAAGAUGACGUCGAGGAGAUCCAGGAAUGCGAAGACGGUGAAACUAGCGGCGGUUGUGAAAGUGUCGGCGACACUUCUCAGCCAUGUUAGGGGAGAAAACUCUGGGACACUUAGCAUCGUUAUCUUACUCUACAGCAAAACGUUUCGGGAAGAGUUGAGAGAGAGAAGAGUUUUGAGGAGAGAUCGAAAUGUGUGUGCUCGUUUUGUGUCAGUAGUUUGUCCACGUAGUUGUUGUGCGGUCGAUAGGAAAAACUACGCAAGUAUUAUUAUAAUUAUUUUUAUUCUUAUUCUUAUUAGAAUCCGAGUAAGGUGCUUCUAAAAAUACUACCACUCAUAUAAUAUUUUUAAUUUAUUAACCAUUGGAUUAACUACUUUGACAAUUUCUAGUUUUGAUCACUCAACCUUACCUUAGGUGAGACCGUUAUCAUUUCAGCUCUAUAAUUUUUUAUUUAAAAGUCAAAAAAUCGAAAACAUCAAUUUGUUAUGCUUCCAAAAGUAUAAUAGCACUAUACUUAUUAUUAUUAUUAUUGUUAUAUCUUUUUUUCUUGUAUUUAUAAAAAAAAUCUAAAUACAAAUGAAAUAGGUAACAAAUUUACAAUGUAGGUACUUUCAAUAACAUGGCUGAAAAAUUCAAAACAGAAUAAUUUUGAGUAACUACUACUAGGCUUCUGAAAUUCAUCGCUUCAAACUGAAUUUGAAUUAAAAAAAGUAUGCAUAUGAAUUUACAAAUAGGUAUUAGAUUUUGAAUUAAAAUAGAUACAUCUUCCUAACUCCUAAGUCUGUAUCCACAUUACAAUAUUCAAAAUGACAUCUCCUUUUAUUUGUUAGUUACUAAAUUUUGAAAAUUUUUUAUUUUACUUUCUAUAAUUUUAUUUAUUAAUGAAAUUGUGUUUUGUUUUUGGGCUUUCAAAUUUGGGCAGAUUAAAUUAUAGUUUUGAAUUUUAAAAUAGAGUGAUUAUAAUUUCUAUUUCAAUUUUAGGUUUUGGUUUGGUUGGCAAGUUGAGAAAGGGCCUAUAAUUAAUAAAGUAUGUGUCAAGUGGUAGCUAAGUUGAUGUAAUAUAUAUAUAGAGUUGAGCUAGAAUACUAUCGAUAGCAAAUCGGCUCUUUUGCCACCCAUUUGUUUUCGAUGAUGGAGCCUCCAAAUUGAUGAUCGGCACCGUUGAACAUGAUCUAUACCAUUUGAAGUAUUUAGAAAUCAAAUUUCAUACAUUUUUGAUAUUGUUCUCUUAUCCAUCAAGUGGACACAAAAACGAACGGCUAAAAAUGAAUAUUCUCAAAAAAAUGAUGAUAGGAGUCUUGUAAUCAAGAUCAAAAGUAUAGAUCUUGUUUUAAAUAGUUUAAAGAAUUUUCUAACAAAAAUUCAAUUGAUUUGGAUAUCUUUACACCAUUAAACGAGAAAACGNUAUAGUAGCCUAGUUCUAUAUAUAUAUAUAUAUAUAUAUAUAUAUAUAUAUAUAUAUAUAUAAUUAUGCUACUAUACUAUCAAUAGUACCAAGCCCUUGGUACUAUUGAGUUUUCGGCCGUUGGAUGAAAAGAUGUGCGGUUAGGAUGAGAGUGCGGCUAGGAUGCUUAUGGAAGCACGGAAGGCUCCGUGCUUUCACUUUGUUUUCGAUGUUCGGACUUUCGAAUCGACGAUCGGCUCCGUUAGACUUGAUCUAGAGUAUUUGAAGUAUCUAGAAAAUAAAUUUUGCGAUUUUUCGAUAUCAUUUGUCUAGUGAUCGAAGUAGCUCAAAAUUAACGGCUGAAAAUAAAAAUCUUAUAAAAUAUGAUGAUAUGACAAUAAAAUUUUGGAUCAAAGUUAUUGAUCUUGUUUUAUAUAGUAUAAGGAAUUUUCUAUCAAAAUUUUAUGUGAUUUGGAUAUUUCUACACCGUUAAACUUGCAACCGGCACACCAUGCCCGUUAAAAUUAUUGAUUUUGAGCCCCUUCGAUCACUAGGCAAAUGAUAUCAAAAAAUCACAAAAUUUAUUUUCUAGGUACUUUAAAUACUCUAGAUCAACUCUAACAGAGCCAAUUGUCGAUUCGAAAGUCCGAACAUCGAAAACAACUUGGAAGCACGGAGGGCUCCGUGCUUCUAUAAGCAUAUCAGCCCACUAUAUAUAUAUAUAUAGAGAGAGAGAGAGAGAGAGAGAGAGAGAGAGAGAGAGAGAGAGAGAGAGAGAGUAAGGCUACUAUAUUAUUAUGAGUAUUUGGCCCUUUGUACUCAUAAGUUGUUUUUGAUGAUGGAGCUUCCAAAUCGACGAUUCACUUCAUUAAAUAUGAUCUAGAGUAUUUGAAACUUCUAGAAAAUAAAUUUCGUAAUUUUUCGAAAUCAUAAUAAAGUCCAUCAGGCAAGUAUAAAAUGAACGGUCAAAAUCGAACGAUGUCUUAAAAAUGGAUGAUCGGAUCCUUCAAUUUAAGAUCAGAGUUAUUGAUUUUUAUCUAGGUAGUGAAUAGAAUUUUCUAUAUAUCAAAAAUUCAAUCUAUUCGGAUUCUUUAGCACUGUUAAACUAGCAAGUAUUCCAUACCGACUGUUAAAAAUUGUCAAUUUUGUGAGCUUUUGAUCGUAAGGUAAAUGAUGUCGAAAAAUUAUGAAAUUUGAUUUCUAGAUGUUUCAAAUGCUCUAGAUAACAUUUAACGGUGUGGAUCAUCGAUUCGGAAGCUCUAUCAUCGAAAACAACUUAUGAGUACGAGGGCGAUCGUACUCAUAAUAGUAUAGUAGUAGCCGAACUCUAUAUAUAUAUAUAUAUAUAUAUAUAUAUAUAUAUAUCCUGCUCAUUUGGUGCUAUAAAAUUUUCUGUCGUUAGAUUUAUUUUUUUUUUCAUUUUCAUCCAUUCAAUUAUACUAUUCAACUAACCAUUUAUUCAACUCUAGUGGGCCCACAUCAUACUAAUCACAUAUCUUUUAAUUUAAGUGCAGAAAACUUAAUAGCACCAAAUAUAAUUUCCCCCCUUCCACCUGCGGUAAAACAAACGUCCCCAAAAAUAUAAUACAAACUUCAGGUUGGGCGAGGCCGGGCAUUAGUGGGCCUGUAGAUGGCAGGCCCAAGCCCACCGACUCAGCCCAUUUCGUUUUGGGCUUGGUCUAUUUUUCUUUUCUUUUUUUCUUUUUUUUUUUAAUAUUAAGCUUCUGCUCUCUUCAACCCGGUAAGAAUCGAAGAAGAGCGAAAAAAUGGAAGAAGAAGAAGCAGCAGCAGCAGCAGGAGCAGGUGAAGAGGAGAGCGUGGUAGUGAAACUGGAGAAGCAUGUGGUGGGAUCUCUCCCCACACUCAUCUACAUCCCCAAUUUCAUCUCCAGAUCCGACCAAUUCCAGCUCCUCCACCACGUAACCCUCCCUCCUCCCUCCCUCUCUCUCCGUGCCCUAAUUUUCUAAUCUAUUUUUUCCUUUUUUUUUGUUUUUUUCUUUUUAAACUAACUGGAGAAUCACCUCACCAUGCAGAUCUACGAGGUGUCAUCGUCGCGGUGGAAAUCGCUCAAGAAUCGGAGGUUGCAGAAUUGGGGUAGUAAAAAUUACUCAAUCCCUCUACUCUUUUAUAUUUCGCCUCAGUUUUUCGUUUUUUUACUAAUAUUUAAACGUUAAUAAAUGUAGGUGGGGUGGUGCACGAAAAGGGACUUUUGCCACAGCAACGUGAGAAUCGAAUUAUUCGGUUUUAUUUUAUUCUAUUUUAUAUUUUUUGUUUCAUAAUUACUAAAUCACUUUUCACGAACUUGCGUAUGUACUCAUAUAAUUUGACCAUCAAAUUUUAAAUUUUGGAAACUGUUACAGAAUCUAUUUGUAUAUAUAAGAUUGCUUGACGAUUUUGUGCUAUUGACACAUUAAUAUGAUAGCAGUGUAUAGCUAAGAUUUCGAGAGUGCAAUCAAUUUGUUUGCUUAGAGUAUUGAGAACACAAUUUAUUAUACCCUUCUUAAUGCUUUUGUAUUAUUCUUUCUUUUUUUUUUUCUGCGAGAAAACAAACAAACAGCUACAUAUUUUAAUCUCUAUUUUGCAGUGCCUGCUUGGCUGACAAAAAUAACCGAAAGAAUUUGCGCGCAGACGGGUUUAUUUCCGUCGCCUAUUAACCACGUACUCAUCAAUGAAUAUUUACCAGAUCAAGGGAUCAUGGUCUGUAUUCUCCGCUUUUCGUUAUGAUUUGUAGUUCUUAGUACGCAGUUCGUGUAAUAAAUGAAGAUGAACACGCUGCAUUAUGUAAUGCAGCCUCACCAAGACGGUCCUGCGUACUUCCCUGUCGUCGCAAUCUUAUCUCUUGGAUCGCCUGCUGUGAUCGACCUCACUCCGCACCAAAGGAUUAAAGAAUGCGCGCCUGCAGCAGUCGAGACCGAGGUGUCGAAAGAGAGAGAUAGACUGUCGCUGACGAGUGAGUUUGCACAUGAGAAGAACAUUGACCAUCAUCAUCUUUGCUCUCUUCUAUUGAUGCCGUGCAGCUUGUUUGUUUUCAAAGAUCAGGCUUAUUCAGGUGAAUAAAUACUCUUCUGUACUGAUGCCUUUUGUUCUGAUUCCUGUGGGAAACCUCUUUUUUCAAGAACUGAUUGUGUGGCAACCUUUGUGAGCAUCCAGAUUACCUGCAUGGUAUAGAAGAUUCUGAACUGCAAAGACUAGAUAAGGUGAGAGGAUAAUCAAUCGCAGCGGGGAGACUCUUUUCUAUGGAGUUUUGUAUUUAUUUGUUGUUUUGGCUUUUUUGUGGAUCUAGGUUGUGAAUAUCUCAGAAGUUUCAGAGUUGGAGCAACCAAACCGUAGUCGGAUGCAGGAUGAAGCGGUUAAUUUCAGCAGCGUUGGUCAAAACGGCAUCUUACAGAGAACUUCGACUCGAGUGUCGUUAACAUGUCGUUUGGUGCCGAAAGUUCACAGGAAUCUGUUCAAGUUCUGAGUGAUAUAUCUUUCGAUAUUCUUGAAAUCUAACUGACAAUGGAAAAAUUUUUUGAUUACAAGGGGGAGUGAUAGUAGAGCAUAAAAUGCAGAGAUUAUUUGUGGAACAGAACAGUUUUGAGACGAGAGUUUUUAGGUAAACUUAUCUGUGGAGUCAUUUGAUGUAACAGUGGAUGCUAUCUUACUUUUCUUCUUUGCUCAUUAAGUUUGAUGUAAGAUAUUUCUAAUGGCUUUUUUUUUUUUUAUAAAUUCGAGAUUAGAAGCUCUAAUGUUUCUAUCAGGAAAGCAUGGAGCUUCUGCUACAGUGAGAAAUUUAACCAAGCUUUCGGUCUCAAAUGUGAGCAAUUAUUUAACAACAGUGAUAUUGUUAGAUUUUUCUUCUAAUGGUUUUAUCCAAAUAACAUUUUUGUAGAUCAUCAACUCUAAAGUUUGUUCUUUUCAUUGUAGCUAUCAAAUCAAAGUAAUUAUCUACACCUUUCAACCAUAUUAUGCUACAACCAUGAAAAGAUCAUCAGCUUUCGAAUUUGACAGCACAGUUAGUAAAUAUAAGCAGCUUCACCGUUGAAAAUUCAUCAUUGCUAACACUCAAUACCAUAUCCAUUCUUUUGCUCUUGUUUGUUAUCUUUUCCUCUUCACUCAAAAUCAGGAAGAAAAAAAAGAAGAGAAAAGAAAACUCAGUAACCUCAUCAUGUGAAAUCACCUCUUCAUGCACUACUAACAAUAGUCGUAAGUAAUUUUAACAAUCAAAAGGUCCAUUUUAUUGCGUUGAUGAAGGUAUCUCAAACGGGCAAAUCUCGAGAAACCGAGGAUCCUCUCUAUUAAACACGAAUGCCAAGUUCCGAAAUUUUGACAAUCUUCUGUUGGAGCUCACGUCUCUGAUUCUUCAAAUCAGAUGCCAUGGAAGCCACCUGCUAUAGAAAAACUAUAAGAGAGAGAGAGGGGAAGAGAGAGAGAGAGCUGAAAUUGUAGGAAAAAAAUGUUUUAAUUGAAAACACUUGCCUCUGCGCGAAGCUCCAGUGAGUCUCUGCCGGGAAUUGUUCGUAACCGGUGCAUCAGAUCUAAAAAUGCAGUAUUCUGUUAGAUACUAAAUAACCAUAAAACUAAUAGAAAAGAAGAGGCCAGGAAACAUAACAAAUGGUUACUUUAUCAAAUCUUAAUUCAAUUUUAAUUUCGAUAGGAUGAGUAUCUUAAAAAAAAAAAAAAAAAAAUUGUCAGCUAAGAAACUACCCCAGGAAACCACGAGAUAACACUCUCAAGUAAAGCCCAGUAUAAAAUAUAUUCAAAACUGUAUGUUCAGGUAAAGAGGAAUAACUACCUUCGGCGGUUGCUCCUACCUUGUAAGUGGAAUUAACAAGCCUCUGGAUUUGGCGUCCAGUAGAUCUGCAGAAAUUCCGAAGUCGGCAGUUGGCAAUGUCUCACCCAUAAAUUGAAGUUCAUCAACCGAAAAGAACAAGGCAGUUACCUCAAAUUAGUGCUUCCACGUUGCAGGUGUUCUUCACCAAAUCCUGUUCUCUUAAGAAUGUUCGUACUGUCCUUUUUCAGUUCCUCUACAGAUUCACUGAACUCUUUCAACCUUAAUUCAGCUUCAGUAAGCAGUUGCUGUAAAUAAAUUAGUAAGCAUAUGAAAAAUAAAAAAGGGUUAGGAAGUGCUUCAGUAAAAGCAAUACGCAGAAUUAAAAUAAGAAAUCUUGUUCCUUCCAUGUACAUGAUUGAGACAUAGUAUUAAACGGUCAAUGUAGCUACGAAGAGGAGAAGACUAACAGGAAGAGUAUAAUUUAUACUACCAUCACAUGUGUUAUCUCUAUGGACGACGAGACUUAUCAUUGUAUCAGUGUCUAUGAUGACAACUGGGAGGGGAGAAAGCAACUAAAGUAACCAAAAAAGAUUUAGUUGGUAGUACACAAAUUUUUUUCAGGCAAGUAAUGGUUGUUAUUAUGGUACCAGGGGUAUUUUGUGCAUCUAAAUGAUUGUUUUUACAUAACUCUGUUUACUCUCUUGAAACAUUAAGAUGUAUAACGAAGAAUCAAUCUAGACGAAAACACCCCAAUGGUUUGAAAGUUUGUGGAUUAUGCAUCUCUAAAUCUCAAUUUCGACUCUUGCAACAACCUCCUGUUAUGAAAUAAUAGAAAGGCCAAAAAAUGAUCUAAUUCUACCAUUGAUUGUAAAGAUAUAAGAUAUGCGAAGCUAUCGACAAAAUUUAGAAAAUCAAAUUGCACUAGCAAGAGAGUUCUGCAAACUUACAGAAGGUGGAGCAACUAAAAGGAAAUUACCUUCUCUGUUUUAAAGCGCCCUAUGGUCUGACGAAGCAAGAAACGCCUAGGACCUAAUGAGAUGAGGUUAAUUAGCAUUAAUACAAAAAUUAGCGCUUUCACUUCACAUAUAAGCAUAAGCUUAUGUAUGUAAUUAAGUAAGAAAGUAGCACUCCAAGAUAAAUGGUAGCUUAUCUAUAGUUAUAGAAUCUUUACCUGGCAGAAGAAUGAAUCCUGCAGCAACAGCAACUCCACAUACCUCAACUGGGUGUUCACGAGCAAGCAAUAUCCCCUCUGAAAAGGGAAAAUAAUUAGUUAGAGCGUAGCUCAGAAUCGUAGGAAUACUCAAAUGGAAACGAAUAAUUUGACGAGGCAAAGGCUAAAGCAAUUUAUGAAAACCAAGCAUGAACACUAAUCAUUCGACCACAUUACCGGCGAAUAUAUCAAAACCAAUUUUGGCGAGAUGACUCACCUUUCACUUUCUCGACAAAUGCAUCCUCAUAAACUUUGUACUGAGACUUCACAGUUGGAAUCAAAUUCUAGAAAUAUUGGAAAGGAAAAAAAAAGAAGAAGAGAGAAAUAAGAAACAGCACAAGAAAAAGAGUUACGAAAUGGAAAAUACCGUAUUGAACCAAAAAAAAUUCAGAAUUUUGUAAUUAAACUUUUACAAAAUGCGUUGCUUAGACUCUCUCCUUUUCAUACAAUGUCCUCCUCUUACUAUUCCUUCAUCAAAGCCCAUUUUAACUUUGCAAACAUAGAGAAACCAGUGCUUAAUUUGGUUAGCAAAUCAUUCUUAUGUGUGCAUCCUAAUAAUUUUAAGCUCCUUGCCUCGAAUCAUUUCCACUUAUGACAACUAUAUAGAACUUGUCCUGCGUAGGAACACUCAUACCAAUUAUUAUCCAAAUUCUCAAUAUGUUAUCACGUUGUAAUCAAAUUCACAUCAAGCACUACAAUAUCAGAACCAACAAGCAAUAGAUUCCACUCCAAAUGAACAGCGCAACCAUCAAAGCGUCGAUCCCAGCAAUGAGAUCAACGAAUUUCGAACAUCUACCUAAAGAAUACCAAAUCAUACGAGACGAGAACAAAAAACGUGGGAAAUUGAUGAUGUAAAAAAAACCUGGAGCUUCAGGAGGGGCCACGGCGCGCUCUCCUGCGGAGAUCGAGCGGAUCCGAGGGAGACCUCCCCGGAACGGGCGCGCCAUGGGAUCGAGCUCUCUUCCUGCUUCGGCCGUGGCGGAGAGGGAUCAGGAGGAGGGCGCGGAGUGGAUCGAGACGCGGCCUCCGCCGCCAUUCUUGGGGCGUGUAUGGGAGCACCAAAGAAGAAGAAGAAGAAGAAGAAGAAGAAGAAGGGUUUUUCUCUCCUCUCUCUCUCUCUUUUUCUCUCUCUCUCACUGGUUGGGUACACAGUAACACAGCCACACAGGGGAGGGGUCGAAGAGUCGAGUUCGGGUCGGAUCCUCCGACGGAUCCGAUUGUGAACUUGCCAUCUUAAACUUUUAAAUUUGACUUUAAAAUAAUUAUUUAUUUUAAUAAAUUUAUAAUUGCAAGAAUUGAAUGAAUAACACUAAAUAAAUCUGUACAGGUAAAAAACGCUUUCAAAUUUUAAAGUCAAAAUAUUAUUGACUAAUUCAAAUAAAUUAAAAUAUUUGAUAGUGAAAUUAAAAUUUUGAGAGAUUGAAUAGCUAAAUCAAAAUGAUCUAUUAGUUUAGGUAAAUUUUAUACGUUUUUAUCUUAAUGUUAAAUAUUUAAUAGAAAUAUUAUAUUGCUAGGAUAAUAUACUAUAAAUAGUAGGUAAAUAGCAUUUACGUAAACUUUUAAAACCUUUGGAUGUCUAGUAUUUUGCUAUUGGGUGGUUGUAUAUAGUCCAAAAAUGUGUAAUAAUUUAUCUACUAUCUAUAAUAUGGUAAUUCAACCAGUGUUACUGUAUAUAUAAAAUAAAUAAUUAUAUUUGCUCAUGCACUUCUAUGUAUGUUGUUUUAGCAUGAUCCUGUUGAGAGUUCCUCCUGCGUAAUUAAAGAAGUAUUAUUAGCGCCAGUCCAUGAAUUGAUCUAAUACCUGGAAAGUGAAAUAUGGCAAAAUGGAUGCGUAAUGCAAAAAAAUGUACAGAAGCAUCAGUUGUGAACAAUAAUUUACUCUUGAAUAACCGACCGUUCCUAAAAUAAGUGGCAAAGAACUUAAUGGUUGGCAUCCGAUAUCCAAGUUCGAAUCCUAGUUGAUUUGUAUUUCCAGCUAAGUUUAUUUCUAAAUAAAAUAAGCGAAGCGGAUAGCGUGCUGCCUAUCUUUCAAAAAAUAAUUUACUCUUGAAUAAUGAAUAAUACGCAAUAAAUACAGUAGAAUGUUUUUCAAAAUUUUAAAAUAUAAUUUAUUGACUAAUUCAAAUCAAAUAAAUUAAAAAAAUAAAGCAAUAAAAUGAAAAUUAAAAAAUUAAUUAAUUAAUUUAAAAAUAAUUUAGAGUAUAGAUAAGUUUUAUAUACAUUUUGACCUUUACCAACCUAUUCCUCACAGGUUGGAACCUUUCAGAAUAUGACAAUAUCUUCGAGUUACAUAAUGUAUUUUUUUUUUUUAGAGAUAGGUAGCACACUAUCCGUUUCGUUUAUUUUAUUUAGAAAUAAAGUUAGCUGAAAAUGUGAAUCAACUAGGAUUCGAACUUGGGAGCUCAGAUACUAACCAUCAAGCCCUUUGCCACUUGUUUCAGAGAUGAUCGAUUCGAAUUACAUAAUGUAGACUGUAGAGUUAGGCGUUCUAUACUGUUACGUACUUACAUGCUGUGGAUGUUUGACAAUUCACUAAGAAAAAAUAAAUAAACAGGUAAAUAAAUAAAGGUUUUACAUUAUAAAAAAAGCGUCUAAUCCGAAACUGCUUUAAUUUUCUGAACCUGGAGAUGAAGAGGAAAAGAGACGCAGAGCACGUUCUUUCUCCUCACCUUCCAUUUCACCUUCCCUAAACCAAUUCAACGCUUUCGAAGCUGUUCAAAAAUUUAACCACGGUAGUUCCUUCAUACCUUUUUUUUUAAUUCAGAGUCCAAUCACGAAAGUAUUUGUUUGUUUGUUUGUUUAGUACAACGUAGAACCAUCUAGUUUUCCAUAGAAUGAACCACGCCCAGGCCACCACCUUAAAUCUUGUUAGUUGCGUGUUUAUCCUUCUUCUUCCUACGGUUUCAAAACAUUUGAUUUUUCUGUGAGAUUUCUCUGUGUUGUUCCAGAAUCUUCUAUUGUGAUGGCAUGUCGGUGUAUUUAAAUCCGUGCUUAGUAAGAAAUCGUCAUAAAAUUCUGUCUCUAAUUCUUUAAGUUUUUGCUCUCCAAAUUCGGAAGAAUCAAUCUCGUUGAUAGUUGGUAAUCUUUUUGCUUCGUUUUUUUUUUCUUUGUUGUGUUUAAUGGGUGUUUUUUUUUUGUCUAAAAUUUGAUGUUUUUGAAUUUGAAUUUUGAAGGAAAAAAAAAAACAAAGGAUCACCUUCGAUUUUAUCUUUUCGAUGUCCUUCGUGUAAUCUUCUCUCUCUGCGUAUCUGCGUUUUUGUUUGUAGUUGAUCUCCAUGGAGGAAGCUUCGAACGCUAGGUAUUGGUGCCACGCGUGCUCGCGAACGGUGAUCCCCGUAAUGGCGGUGGAGAUCGAGUGCCCUCGUUGCCACACCGGCUUCGUCGAGCAGAUGGGCGGCGCCGUCGACGACGACGACCUCGUCUCCGAUCGUGCCCUCUCUCUGCUGGCGCCGAUCCUCCUCGGGAUGCUCGCCAACCGAAACCCUCGCACCGAAUCCCAAGACGAAGACGCCGCCGCCGCCGACGACGACGGCGCCGGCGACGACGGCGCCGGCGACCCCCGCCGCCCCCAGCGGCGGAGCCCCGCCUUCGUCCGAUUGCUCCGCCGAUCGGACCCCGAAAACCCUAGCCGCGAAGGCGAUCGCAUCAUCCUCAUCAGCCCGUUCCGGCAGGCGAUCCUUCUCGACGAUCCGGGCACGGGGAUCACCAUCGGCGACUACUUCGUGGGGCAGGGGCUGGAUCAGCUGCUGCAGCAGCUGGGGGAGGGCGAUCCGAGCAAGUACGGGACCCCGCCGGCGAGGAAGGAGGCGGUGGAGGCGAUGCCGAGGGUGCGGGUGGAAGAGGCGGCGACGUGCGCGGUGUGCUUGGAGGAGCUCGCGGUCGGGGAGGAGGCGAGGGAGAUGCCGUGCGCGCACCGGUUCCACGGCGCGUGCAUAGUGCCGUGGCUAGGGUUGCAUGGCUCGUGCCCCGUGUGUAGGUACCAAAUGCCCGUGGAGGAGGAGGCGAAGGAGCCCUCCAAUGGUGGUGGUGGAGAGGGUGUUAAUGGCGGAGAGAGCGGUAAUGGUGGUGGAGGGGAGCAUGGGAGGAGGUUGUGGGUGCCCCUGCCGUGGCCGCUUAGUACGUUAUUUUCAUCGUCGGAGGCAGCGGGGGCGGCAGAGACGGAAAGCCAUGGGAGCUCGGCUUCUUCUGGUAGUGAUUCUUGAACAUGGCGGUGAUCCAAAAUGUGCUUUUUCUUGUAUAUAGUUGGGAUGUUGCCAGAUUGGAUUUGUAAGUUUUGUUCUUUGAUUUGUGUUCUGUGUUUCCUAAUUCUGAGGGUAACAAAUUUUAACACCACCUCACAUCAUUUCCCUCAAGGAAUACAUAUGUCAGAAUUUAAAAUAAAAUGCAAUAAAAUCUACGAAAUGGACCCAGAACAUCAUGUAACAAAACAGAAACUCCAACAAAAGCCAAAAGAACUAGGGAGGUGGAGAGAGAGCCUAGCAAAAGCUGUCCAAACCAAAAUGGCAAAAUCUGUUAUCUUCCCGGCAGUCCCUCACUUUGACUGUCAAGAUCUUAAUCACAGAAGUGACACCGAUUCGAUGCAGCGCCACAACAGAAUCUCCCUGUUUGCACAGCACCAUCGCCUUCACAUGCUCUAUGGCAAACUCAGGUGCUUCUUCGGUUGUCUCUGUAUCUGAAGCUUUUGCAGUAGCAGCACUUAACACGGAAAUCAGCCCUCUAACAAUAAGGCUGUGCCUCGCCUGGGCCUCAUCACUACAAAUCCAAUCGAAGUUAUCCGUCUUCAACUCAGGAACAACAACCGAUAGUAUCGGCAUGGCCGGCCUGUACUUUGCCGCCAAUCUUGCAGUGCUUCCACCCCUCGUAAGUACCAAAAUGAGCGCCGCCUUUGCGGAGUUGGCAGUCCGUACCGCCGAUGAGGCGAUGAUGCUCUAUAACAGGCUCAUUGGAACAAAGUGCAGACGACAUAAUCAAUUUAAAAACCGCCUCGUAGUCCAAAUACGAUUCGGCCUGCAAGCAAAUCUGGGCCAUGGUCUGGACUGCAAGCUCGGGAUACGCCCCUGCAGCUGUUUCUCCACUGGGCAUCACGCAGUCUGUGCCGUCGAGUACAGCAUUUGCUACGUCAGUUGCCUCAGCUCGAGUGGGGCGAGGGGACUUGAUCAUUGAUUCUAACAUUCGGGCUGCAGUCAUGACGGGCUUUCCUUGUAUGUUGCAUUUGAAGAUCAUCACCUUCUCGGCAUCGAAGAUUUUUUCAAUAGGAAUUUCCAUUCCCAGAUCUCCCCAUGCUACCACGAAGGCAUCCGAGUUUGCGAGAAUAUCGUGAAAAUUAGCUACCCCUUAUUGGUUUUUCUACGUGCAGGUGAUGAGGGAAGUAAGAAGAAAGCACCAGCAGUUGAAUUUUAACUUCAAAUUGUAAUAAUUUAGUCCCUCAUGGUAAGUCAGUUAAAAGAAAAAACACACCGUCAGCAUAGUUUAGCGCCAGGGUCGACCUCAAAAGCCUAACAUGUCAGCAAACUCUGAAAAGAUGCUAACAUAGCAAACUUUUAGAUACAAAAUUUCAUAAUGUUGAAAACCCUGAGGCCAUUAUUGAAAUUGAGAUCAAAUUUCAAGGACGGAUUCAACAAAGGUUAGCGUAGAUUAACAAACCUUGGACAUGAGCAUGAUCAACUUGGCAUGGUCUCCAAGCACCUUCCUCGCCUCCACAAGAUUAGAGCCUUUUCGCACAAAGGAAAACGCGAUCAUGUCAAUCUUAUUAGGAAUACACCACUUCGUAAUAUCUUCAAUAUCCUUCUCUGUAAGUGUAGGGAGAUCCACAAUAACUCCUGGAGUCCUGGGUGAUUCACAUUCUUCCUCUCAUGGAGCAUCGCCGCGUUCUCGCAGCGGCAGCGAACGAAGCCUUGCUCCUUGUCACAAGAUAGCACUGUAAGGGUAAUAGUGCCAUCAGCGCAUAGGAUAACACUACCUGGCUUUAAAUCCUCUGCUAUUUUUUUUGUAGCUCAUCGAGAUCAUGUUCUCAUCGGCCCUUAUGACAUAGUCAGUAGAGAUGGUGAUUUCCUGGCCCUUAUUUAAUUGAAUGGGCUUUCCAUCUUUCAGAAACCGGUUCGGAUCUCCGGACCCUAAAAUUGACAAGCCAUCAGAAAUUAUAAAUCAUAAACAGCAAAAAACUAACUAGUUUCAUUGUUGGUGGUGAUUGUUGAAAACUAUUAACGAAGUUUAUGAAUUAGGGAGCCAAUACUUUUUUCCCUUAAAUCCAUGCGCAUCAAAAAGGUUAAGAAUUUUACUCGACUAUGGAAGUACAAUAGCGAAACCAAACAUCAAAAAGCUUUCCCAUAAUUGCCAUUAUUUCCACUUCAUGAAAUAUCAUUAAUUUUUCAGGUCCACAAGUGAACCACCUACAAUGCCAACAGUGCAUAGAUCAACGUUUGAGGCAAAUGGAAAUCCUUUAAUAACAUCAGGCAAAAAAGACAUUUCCAAUUUCUUCUAAUUGACGUAUUUUGAGAUCCUCAUUGUUAUUCUACUUUGUCCUUGAAUGGUCAGGAGUCUUUUGUCCCCAUGAUAGGAGUAUUCAACAAAAGCAUGACAUUUUAUAGUAAUCACAUUAGCAACUCACAAGAUUAAAUUGUGAGACUAAGCUCACAAUUUAGCAAGAAAGCUGUUUAUAAGCUGUAUAUCCUUGGAAAUUCAGCGAUAGUUAAUGCAAUCUAAUAUAGUGGUGCGAAACCCACCCACGGCAGAAAAAGACAACUUCUCAAUUGUUUCUGAAACGUGUCACCGAACAAAGGAAGAUCAAAUAAAUGGCCUCUGGAGGAUGGUAUACAUAGCAUUGACAAAGUGAUCUUUUGUAUAUUUAGGACUUAAAAACAUAUAAGACAUGCAUAAAAGCUUUUAAAUUUGAUAAAGAUGUAUGGAAACCUCCUCGAGCAUCGUCAUCUAACGCCCGAACUUACAUUUCUUCUAACACCCUCUCAACUUUCAUUUAUUUUAAUUUACAUUAUUUGCGAGUUAAUUGAACAUCGAAUUCUGUUAAAUUUAACUACUCUACCUAUUUUCAAAACGUAUAAAUUUCUUUAACAUUUAACAAAAACAACACAAAAUUGAGGGAAUGUUGAUCUUUCCGUGACAUAUAUAAAAAUGGCCUAUAGUUGAAGAGGUCACAACAUUUUUCUUUUUUUACAUCUUAAGUAUUGCAUAUUUAUACCUAAAGUCUGAUGGCUCACUGCAUGUAUACUUACUUUGACCAUAGCAUAAUAUAGAUCGAACAUUCUAUAAAUGUACCCAAAAAUAUUCUACGAAUGUACCAAACAAGUUCAACUUAGUAUCUAAAUACUUGAUUACUUGUUCCCUCGCAUCACCUCCCCGAAUAAUUCAUCUCCACACGGCACAAAAAAUGCAAGUCAAAUAUAAAAAAAUCCAAUUUCAGAAAUGUUUUCAUCACACAUAAAUCCCCCCCAAAAAAGAGAGUCAACAAUGCAGCUAAAAAAAACUUUUUUUUUUACUCUUUGCCAACUAAAGUAAGAUUAAAAAUUUUCUUAAGAAACAGAAACACAUAAAAUUGGACCAACUAUAAUCGAGAAAAAUUUUGGAGGUGAAACAAUUAAAUAAAGAUCUGAAAAAAAAAGGCCUCAGAAAAGGGAAAUCAGGGACGAAAAACCCUAGCAUAAUCAAAUUACACUCCAAAUUACCCAAUUAAACUCAUUAAAGCGUCUAAUAACAAGAAGAGGCCACAAAUUAACAGCAUACGACGACAACAAAAAUAAAAUUUGAAAAAGAAAUCAUAGAAAUUACCAAAUGACACCCGAUUGAUCAGAAGAGGCAAAAAAUUAACAGCAUAGGACAGCAACAAAAAGAGAAAAAAAAAUCAUUCAAAAUACCAAAUUACACCCAAUGAUUGAGAAGGGGCUAAAAACUGGAACAUGCGCCAAAAGCGCGAGUACCUUGGUAUCCAACGUAACGGCGCAGAGGAUCCCGGUGUUGUCCAUGGCGGCGCGAAGGUCGUCGAGGGUCUUCUGGUGAUGGUCGUGGGAGAAAUUGAAGCGCGCGACGCUCAUCCCCGCCCUGAGGAGCUUCUCGAUGAUCGCCACCGACCUCGACGCGGGCCCAGCGUGCACACGGUCUUCGUCUUCGGCCUCCACCUCAUCGGAUCCUCCCUCGCCAUUGCCGAGCGCGAUCGAAGCUCUUAGGGCUAUUGAGAUCGCACACACGCAUGGAGGAGGGAGACGACGAAACGAAACGCUUCGCGGAGUCUCAGAAGAAGAAGGAUCGAAAAGGCGUCGCCAUUUCGAGACGCCGCGGGGUUAUUUUUGAUUUGAAAUAAAUUUAUUAUUAUAAUUUUGUAUUUUUCAAAAGUUUUGUGUGGCAUAAGUUUUUAACUAACUGUGCUAAUAACAGUAGCGUAUCAAUUUUAACUAACUGUGCUAACUAACUGUGCUAAUUGAAAACUUCAAAUACCACUUCUUUGGGCUGGCAAUUUUUUUUAUUAUUCUAUGAUUUUAACUGUAUCAAUUUAUUACCCAGUAAUUUUAUUUUUCUCUUCUUAUUAUUUCAUCUAUUUAUUUUUUUCGUUAAAUUUAUGACAAAAUUAAAACUAAAAAGUACUAAAGUGAAUAUUGGAUAAAUCUAGAUGGAAUAUCUGAAAUUUUUUGUAUAUAAUUUAAUAAAAUAUUAACGGAGAAGCUGAAAAAGAGAAAAAUGAAACUACAAUGUACUAACUUGAUAUAUUUUAAACUAUAGAAUACUAAAGUGAAAAAGUGUGAAACUAUGAGGAUUAAGGAUGGUAUUUGAAGUUUACUUAUAUAAUAAUAAGCAUAUCGUGGGCCUAUUAUUACGGCCGCUGUUUUGGACCGGGCUGGAUCUGAACAUCUUAUUAGAAUUUCGGGCGAGAGGCCCGGUUCGAAUUUGAGCCGGCCCAUAAUUGGGUCCCUGGAUGACAUGCACGCUAAGAUAAAAAGUGAGCCCGGCCUAUAUAUUGAUGUGACUGGUCAUUCCUUUGAUGUUUGAGCCCGGCCCAUAUUGGCCUGUUUGUUUUACAAAAUUUAGAUUGAAGAGAACUUACGGGUAAACUGUCGUUCAUUUGAAAAUUACUUCUCUUUUCUCUAGUUUGUUGUUUUUUUUAGCAACAAGUAAUAAAUGACAUAAAGGCUCAAGUUUUUUAUCAAUAAUAUUUUAUUAUUUUGUGUUCGUACUUUUUUUUCGCAGUCAAUUAUGAUAUUUUGAUGAGUUUGAAUUUCGGCCAAACGUAAAGUUACAGAUAAAUAAAACAACAGAAGUGGGCUUUUACGAGUGAAAAUCAUUUCACCUCUCUACACUUUUGGUAAAGCCCAUUUUAAUUGAGUUUUAUUAUUUUAUCAAAUCAUCCCAAUAAUUUUAAAAAAAAAUAUUAAGUUUCAAAAGUGGACCAUUUGGAGCAACAAUUUUAAUUUAGCUCCCGAUCACAUCAAACUUUUUUUUUUAUCGUCAAGUGUCUGAUUAUUUAUUUAAAUAAAAAAACUGUUUUAGAAGCCAAAUCAUCAAAAACUCCACUAAGUCGCUCUAGUGAACGGAUAAGAAGUUAAAGUUUGGCUAAGCUAAAGUUACUAAUAUACAAAAAUGCCGAAGCUAUUGACUAAAGAGUACACGCAAGUAUAGAUUCCAUCUCCACAAAUAAAUGUCACAUAUAUUCCUUUUUAAUUUUUAUGUUUUUUCCCAUUUUGGUUCCUAUACAGCUAGAAAAAAAAAAAAAAGAAAAAAAAAGUUCCAAAUUUUAUUCCUUUCACUCCAUACCCCUGCUUUACUUCUCAUUGUUCACACUCAUUAAUGUGGUGUGUGUGUGUGUGUUGUAAAAGUAACUCUACUUAUCUGUGUAUAAAACCAAAUUUACUAUUGAUGGAAAAAUUCACUAUGCCUAAUCAUAAUUUGUCAAUCAUAUUGGACUCCAUUUGAUUGAAAGGAUUUAGUCGUAACAAAAGCAGUGACAACAUUAAUAGCACCGCAUAUAUCAUUAAUAAACAAUAGCUAGAUUUGAAUUCUUAUUGAUUGGCAUCUAACCUACUUGCUAAAUGGCCUAAUGAUAUUUAGAUACCUAGAGAGAGAGAGAUGAAACAAUACUGCUACAUGUACCUACAAAGAUCUCUUAAAAAAUUACUGAUACACUGAUAUGCACGUAUACCAUACAGGAGUGGAUUCGCACAUUACAGCUAAUAUGUUAACAACGACUACGUAAGGGGUACGCAGAGCAUUACUCUUUCCGGAAAAAAGAAAUUGUGGCAUAGAUAUACAUUCCUUUUUAUUCUUUUCAUAUAAAAAGCAGCAUAAGAUACUUUCGCCUUUGUAGCGUCCCUGAUUCCAUUCUCCCCGGCAGGGAUUGCGUAUAGACGCAAACCAAAUUGACUGGUUUUAGAGAACUAAGCAUAUGAUAAGUGAUCUUAACAAUGGGCCAUAAUCUUUGAAAAGAUAACCCUAUGGCCAACAAGAUAUUCUCCCACGGCCUUAAAAUAUCGUGCGCUAAUGAUGAUCAAACCAUCUUUGUCCACAAUUCCAUUCCCAAAGAAUAAUCUAUUAAAGCAAUUAGAAACAGCAUAUAUAUUUGCAUGCAAUAGUUGGUCUCAUUUGAAUACUCAUACCAGUAAAGAUAUUAACAACUAGAAAAUUUGAUGGGAAUCGUAGUGUUCCACAAUAUGGAUAUAUUUAUAAAUUGGUUGUCAAGUUCGCAAAGAAAAGAAAAAGAAAAAGAAAAAGAAAAACACGGGCAGUGAUGACGACAGAGCUGUUUUUGUUUGUUUUUUUUUUUUUUUAGAGAGAUAAGUAGCACGCUACUCGCUUCGUUUAUUUUAUUUAGAAAUAAACUUAGCUGGAAAUGUGAAUCAACUAGAAUUCGAACUUGGAACCUCGGAUACCAACCAUCGAGCCCUUUACCACUUACUCUAGGGACUAUCAGUACAGAGCUGUUUUUGUUAUUUGUCAAGAAAGAUAUAUUUUGCUCCGGCGAUAAUAAAAUAAGCUCUGUCAAUAUUAAUUUCCGGACAUUCAAAUGAUUAGAGAGAGUGUCAAUAUGCAAUUACCUCAAGCAUUAGUAGAUUGUGAUAUCUUUGGUACGCCGAGGAGGCUUGUGAUCAUUGUUUCUGAAAGGUUUUGUAUCCUAUUGAUAUUUUGAAUAACAUAGUAUUAUCGUCGCCCUUAAGACCCCCCUCUGUUUCAAGGGGUCUUAGGUUUCGAUACCCACAUGUACCAUUACAAAACUAAAAAUUAGAAGUGAUGUUCACCUCAGAAGAUAUGGUAAAUCCAACUUCUAACAAAGGAAAAAAAGAAAAAAUGGUGUUGAGUUAUUUUAAAUGCUAUAUGCAUCACUACUCUGAGUGGUGGUGGUCUUAGCCUUAAUUGGCUCAUAUUUUUUGCUUCAGACAUGCAUAGAUGUAUCAAAUGUACUUUGUAAAAGCAAAAAAGAAGAAUACGGUGCUUAUGUGCACAGGUAUUUUAAGUACUUUAGUAAAGAAAAAGCCAAGUAAUCAAGAGAAGAAGCAUAAGAAGCACCAAAAGCAAGAAAGAACAACAACAUCUAACACAGUUCCCUUGUAUUUUGUUCUCCUUAUGUUCAAAAGCAUAAUAGUCACUGUGAAGCAUCAGCUUCAUGCAGAUGGAUAGUCUCUAAGUUCCCUAUCUCCUUUUUUUGUAGAUGAACCAGUACCAAACUUAACAGAGGGGACAAAAGAGAAUAACAUGCUUUUAUUCCAUAUUCUCAUUCCUUGCUUUGAUGAGAGUCCCAAUGUGGGGCAUCAUAUUAAGCAUGGAUUCCUUCCUUUUUUUCCCCUUCCCAAGCUUUAUCCAAUUCGGCUUCUGGAUGCGUCCGGUCAAACGGAAUUUUUCCGACUUUCUUCUUCGAUCGAUUAGUAUCGAUAUUCCUUAAUUCGACCCCAUCCCUGCAGUUGGUGCUCUUAAUAUGUAAGACUCGUACCAACCGCGAUAACCUACGAUUUCUCAGAACUUGUAUAACUUUUGAAGUAACACCGAUCGGCCGCCAAUCAUGUACUCUCAUUUCGCAAACCAACCGAGGUCUCCAUAUGUUGUCAAUACUCGCAGACUAUAAGUCACUUGGAAACAGGCUGCUGAACUUGAGCUAACACGUUGUUUGAUUUCAGACAAAUCUGACAGAACUUCGCCAGCUUUCUGAUAUUCUGAUGGAAUGCAAAGUAACACGAUAAAAUAUUCUCCAACUUUUUCGACCGGAACAAUUAAGUUCUGACAACAUGUAUCUGAAGAAAUUUUCUGAAACCAAACAACAUGAAACAUAAAAGUAAAGUUUCGGAAACUUGCUUUGAUAACUUACUGUCGGAAACGUAAGUGAGGAAUUUGAGAAAGUCCUCAUGGGCAUUAGAUUCCUGCUUUUCCUCAGAGAGGCCAGUAUGUUAAACAGAAUAGACUUUUCUUUUGUUUCCCUAUUACCGUGUGCAAGGUGAAAGCAAUUCGAUGGAAAGUAAAAGUUACUAGUGAGGAAUCAGAAUGUAAGUGUGGUCUCACAAUUGACAAAAGAGAAAGAAGAAGAAAAAAAAAAAAUGAUGGCCUGGGUCCACAGGCACCCAAAGCAAGAAGGACAAUAUCUCCUUUGAGUUUCUGUGAAGAUUAGUUCGUGUUCGCGCCUUUUGUUCCGCGGAUUCCAAAUUCCCUCCACAUUUGCCUUAUAAGGGCGAGUACGUGUAGCCAGCUCUUUAACCAUUGCGAAGGGCAGGUAGAGAAAGCUGAAGCCGAAACAAGGAGCAUUUCGCAGUACAGCGAGAGCAAGUCUUAGCUUUCCCCGGAUAGCGGAACAACAAAGGUUGCAGCAAAUCAGAAACAGGCAGAUAAGCGCAGUCGCCAAAUGAGUAAUAGUAUCUAAACAAGGAGAUUGCAAAAGUGGUACAAAGAAGAUCUUGUCCAGCUUUUUAUCUAGUUUAUUACUCUUCUAGUGAUACUAACUUUGGAACUUUGAUAGACAGAAGAUGUAUAAUAAUCAUCAUCAAGGCCACAACAACAACCUUCUUAUUCCUUCGCGGGGAGCCUUUCCUGCAGAUAAGCAUUUGUUUUUGCAAGGGGGGAGUGUUCAGGGGGAGUCGGGGCUCGUUCUCUCUACCGAUGCUAAGCCUAGAUUGAAAUGGACACCGGAACUCCACGAGCGUUUCAUAGAGGCGGUAAAUCAUCUCGGCGGAGCAGAUAGUAAGUGAUCAAAGAGAGACAAAAGCUGCCUUCUUUUUUUUUCUCUUUUUCGAAAGCCGAUAGAUCUAUAACAACAUGCUAAAGUAUCAACAAAAUUGUCGGUUGUUCUUUUUUUGGCAGAAGCCACACCGAAAACAAUCAUGAGGCUCAUGGGCAUCUCAGGACUAACUCUAUAUCACCUUAAAAGCCAUCUUCAGGUACAAAUGAUCUAGAGAAAAAAAAAAAAACAACUAUUUCUUAUCGUUGGAUGUACGCAAGCUAGAAACUAAUUCGGUCUUUGUGAUAACUAGAAAUACAGGCUUAGCAAGAAUCUACAGACGCAAUCGAGUAACGGAAGCACGAAAAAUAGUAAGAGUAAUCUUCUAAUGCUUCUAUCAGAAAUCAGACUAGGAAUGAGAAAUUUACGAAGUAAUCACAUGUCUUUUAUGUGCCAGUUGUAAGCUGCACCGUAGCAACAGAUAGAACACUCGAAGGGAAUGGAGCGCCGAUAAGCGAUUUGAAUAUCGCGUCCCAGACAAAGAAGUAAGAGAUUAAAUUUUAACUUAAAAGUGCUGUUUUUUUUUUUCUUUUCCAGAUAAUAAUCAACUAAUGACAUGGUUUCUUGUUUUCAGAACUAUGCAGAUAAGCGAAGCAUUGCAAAUGCAAAUUGAAGUACAGAGGCGCCUGCACGAACAACUAGAGGUAAGGAUCGCAGAAGUUUACAGCUAUGCUGCUAAAUAUGUUGUCAUAUAUCUUGCUCAAAAUCACACAUAAUUGAAAAAAGAAACAAAAUUUCCGACACUGUACUUAUUUGCGCAUAUAAAUCUCUAUGUCAAUUUCAAGAGUUGCUACAACUUCUUGUCUUAUCUUAAAACAACAUUUAGAAAUAACAAUAAGUUUCUCAAACUUCAUGCCUUUCUAAUGCUGUUCUGAUGGAACUCUACAGGUGCAAAGACAUCUACAACUCCGCAUUGAAGCGCAGGGAAAAUACUUGCAGUCGGUGCUGGAGAAGGCACAUGAGACUCUCGCAAAACAGAACUUAGGCUCUGCCCCCGGUCUAGAAGCCGCCAAAGCGCAACUAUCUGAACUCGUAUCGAAAGUCUCAACCGAAUGCCUGCACAAUGCAUUUACUUUCGAAGAUGUCCACAGACACGCAGCGCAGUUCAACGACGGUUCGGUCGAUAGCUGCUUGACAUCGUGCGAAGGGUCACAAAAGGAGCAAGAGUUGCACACCAAGUGUAAGAGGACAGCUGCAGAAGAUAUCAAUUCUCAAGCUUUAUGGUUUAGAGACUCAAAUAAGCGUAAAAUCGCUUCUGCGUCAGCUGCUAGAGAUCAAGAUAUGAAUGACUACCAUGUCCAAAGAGACUCUGGCAUGUUAUCUAUCGGCCUCGCGGCACAUGACGCUAAGGAAAUGAGAGGCAACGUUUUCGAGGCUCGACGAAAUGACCCAUGUCUCACGACCCAACUGGAUCUAAACGCGAAUUAUUCGAGUGACGCAGCUCCAAACUGCAAAAAGUUUGACUUGAAUGGUAUUAGCUGGACUUAGCAGAGGAAUGUUUAAAGAAUCAGUUUGCGGUAGAGAUGGUGAAUAAAUUUAGAAUCAUUUUUCGGUUGCCUCGAGCAACUGUUAUGAUCAUUGUGUACACAACCUAUAUAGAUAUAUGUAAGAAAAACUAGUUCUAUAUUAUGUGCCAUCAAAGCAUUGCAGAAUAAGUGAUGGAUAUGAAAUAAAAAGCUGUUUCCGCGACAAAUUUGCCAAAAAUGACAAUGAUUUUUGACCCAGUUUUAUGCCUGUACACUAUAAAUCUCUAAAAUUUCUAACUAGAAAGAAAUAUUUUAGUGAGAUCUCUGCACCUAACAACAUCAGAUGACUGCAGAUAUAGAACAACCUGUUUGAUUCAGUAAAAUAACAAACAGGGGUGGGGGGGGGAGCUAUACAACUGAAACUAUCCAUUUCUCAUUGUAGAGCUUAAUAUAGCAAAAUAAAAUUACGUGUGAGCUUACAACUAGUGAGGAAACAUAUUACAAUUGUUAUGGGAAAAUUGAGUUGAAACGUUUUAACGUUUGCAUGCAUUAAUGUUCUAUAGUUUUUAGAUGAAAAAAAAUUGUCCAUAAAUUUAUGCUUAAUCAUGCUCCUCUUAUGUCCCAAAAAAUGAUAUCUAAAAUAAAUUUUAAAUAAUCGACUCGACUAAAAGGAAAUUAUUUAUUUUAUGUCAUAUAUAUAUAUAUGGAGUGUAAAUGGGUCGGGUCCAGUAGACCCAAUUUGCAAAAUCUUUUGGCAGGGUAGAUCCCGGUAGGAACUUAAUUUUAGCCCGGCCUAUUACGCGUGCAAUGUCGGUUCGGCCCAUUGAUCUAAUGGGCCAGCCCAAUGCAAACUAAGGAAAGAGGAUGGGGCCACGAAUGGACUUAGCCCAUUCAAACACUGCGGCCCAUUAAUGUGAAAACCGAAGUACAAAAAAGUCCGCAUAUAUAAGGCUGCCUCUUCAAGUGGGAACUAAAAGCUACAAGCUCAAUUUAAAGCAAAAGGUGUAGUACUUGCAAAUUUAGAGAGAGAAACUAGUGGCUCCGCACAUGGCCACCCUUAGAAAUGUUGGACCUUAGCUUUUUUUUUUCUUUUUCUUUUUCUUUUUUUUUUUCAAGUACCAGGGACCACUCCUAUCCGAGAAAGGUUGAAAAGGACAGUAAAAAGUAAGGCUAGAAUGAGUGUAUUACAUACGGUGAGAAAAUAUGUCUGAACAAUAUUCGGUUUGUUUUUUGAGAGAAAAAUAGCGAGUUACCUAUUUCAUUCAUUAGGUCAAAUGAAUUAGGCUUACAUAGUGGAAGCAGCCAGAGUUUCCAAUCGCCAAAAAAAGAUAAGCAAAUAGAAAAGAAAGUAAAUAGAAAGAAACAAAAACAGAAUGAUUGGAGGGAGUGAGUAUGGGACAAGUAAAAGCAAAGCAGGACGGGCGGGGGAAAUCUCAGUGGGCGCCAGAUAUCUCGUUCUACUCAGUGGGCGCCGGUUUGUUAUCUCGUAAAUAAUAUAAUGCUAUACAUAUCUCUAUUUGCUGUCACCCUAAGUGUUUUCGGAGUAAUGGUAUUAGAUAGCUCUCAAUACCGAGUGAGUUCAAAGGUAGUGGUUGGUCUGAUGAGUUUAAUAUCAUAAAAGUUAUUGUGAAAGAGAAUUUAACUUAUUGAGUUUGAUUACAAUAGUGAGAUAUAUUUGGAUGUUGGUUUCCUCAAGGGGUAGUGAGAAAGGGAAAUGCUUCGGAUCCCAAGCACAAAGGAGGAAGCUUUCUGUAUUAAUUAAAGAUAUUGCACAUGAUUACUUACUGAGGUUUUUUUUUUUGUUUUAUUGUUAAUAUAUUGUUAAACAAGCAAACAAGUAUGUAUAUGAUAUGGUUGGUUGCUCAUGGUGGCCUGAAAAGGAGUCUAUCGGAGCAAGAAAGAUGGAGCGUUGGGAAUUACGGAGUUGGUUGCUAUAAAUGACGCCCUUUUAACAAAGUGGUGGCGCAGAUCACCUAGGACGUCAGCAGGUACAUCUAAUCCCUCCGCGCUGAGGAGUAGAUAACGAACAAAAACAUAAUUACAGAAUAGUAGGUACGUCUAAUCCUUAAAGCACUUUAUUAUUCUUGAAGAAAACCACUUAAGGAAGAAAAACGUUUAGACCGGCCUCUCAAUGGUGGAAGGACAGGUUAACGUUGACGGAGGUGUUUAAACUUGUGGCAUAAACUACACCUUAGGGGAUGGCCAUCCAAUCCACCUAGCUAGUAGCUACGGACUAACAAGUAGUGGUGUGGGGGCGCUCUGCUCUAUGGGUACCUACUUUCUGGACUAAUAUGAUAGGAUUGAGAGGAAAGACCUAUUAGUCGCGGCUUGCUAUGCCAGUCGAGGAUAAAGAUGAAGAAAGAUGCUAAAGAAAAGUUCGACUGCAACCCGGGAAAGGAUCAUAGGUAUUCUGGAACUCAAGGACAUGCUCUUUAAUCUCUAAGCAGUGAACAAGCCUCACAAUAUCUCAUGGAGAGGUUUGCGAUCAGAUUUGUCUAUCAGAUGCUGACGAAUACAAUAUACUCUUUUAGAUAUCUAAAUAUUUAACUAUAAUCCUCAUUUUUAAACGCUACAAAUGUUUUAAUAUUUGGCGCAUUCAACAGCGCGAAUAUACAUAUAUGCGGCUGUCCCAAUUCUAUUCUCCAACCAAACCAAACGCUGCAUAAUAACCACUCAUUCAGAUUUUCUUUUUCUUUUCUUUUAGAUUUAUUCCUACCACAACUAGGCUGUGACUUUGUGUGGUUGGUUGGUUGUGCUUGGGCCCCACAAUGCAUAUCCAAUCCCGUGCAGUGCAGGGGCCGAAGUGCCUAUUGAGAUCUUCCAUUUCCUGGUGGAGGAAACAAGAAGUAGAGGAAGAUGACAAGUGUAGCCCUCCCAUCCGGAUCUUGUUCGCCACGUCAUAUUCACAGAAUCUCGACACGUAGCUGUUUUUUUUUUUUUUUUUUUGCGGAGUAUAUAUAUAUAUAUAUAUAUAUUAUAUAAUUAUAUAUAUAUAUAUAUAUAUAUUAUAUGAAUUAGGUUACUAUACAUUUAUAGUACGAGUCCGGUACUAUAGUGUUUAUUUUCGAUCUUACGGCGUUCAAAUUAACGAUCCACACCGUUAAUAUGAUUAGGGUAUAUGAAUGCCUUAGGAAUAAAAUUUAGUUUUUUUCGAUAUCGUUAUACUUAGUAAAUAAAUUAAUAUCAAAUGGACGUGAGAAUUGAAUAAUCUUUAAAAUUUGAGUAUAGGAACUUUUAAAUUUCAAGAUUAAGAAAUGUCUAACCUUAAUCUAUAUAGUUUAAAGUAUUUUCUAUCAAAAUUUGAAGAAAUUUAGAUUCUUCUACACCAUUAAACUCCAAACUCGUCAUAAUAGCCAUUGAAAAUUGACAAUUUUGAAAUAGUUUGAUCAUAAAGUAAACUAUGUCGAAAAAAUAUAAAAUUUUAUUUCUAGAAACUUUAAAUACCCUAGAUCAGUUUUAACGGUGUGGAUCGUUGAUUUGAACGCCCUAAGAUCGAAAAGCAACACUAUAGUACCGGAGCUCGGCACUAUAGAUAGUAUAGUAGCCUAGCUCUAUAUAUAUAUAUAUAUAUAUAUAUAAACAGUUGACCCACACUAAUAAAUUAAAAAUUAUUAAUAUAUAGAGUUAGGUUAGUAAACUCUUAUGAGUAUAUACUUUUUUUUUACUUAUAAUUUUUUAACUGGUAGAUCUAUUUCUUUAACUAUUUCCAUCCGUUAGAUCAUAUAUACUAUUCAACCGAUCACCGACUCAAUUCUAGAAAACCACUAUCAUUCUAACUGUCUAUUUCUUUAUCCAACGAUCGAAAAUUUAUAAAUACAAAAAGAUCUAUAAUAGCCCUAGCCUAAUUAAUAUAUACUAUCAAAAAAUUAUAUUUUGAUGAUAGCUAGUUUAAGGUACUAUUUAGAUGCUCGACAUCUUAUUAUACAUAUAUUUUUUAUUUACUCAAGAAGUAUGUAGUAUUUAGUAGAGAAGGAGAAUAAUGAAUUGCCUAAAAUGAAUUUCGUUUUUGCCCUAUAAAUUUUGUAGUAUGAAAAAAGACAAACUAUCUCUACUUUACUAAAUUAUAAAUAUCAAAACCUUUCAGAUAAUAAAAAUCAAAAUUCUAAUUUUUUAGUCGCACGAAAAAUAAUUAUACCACAUAAUUUAUUUUGAAAUUCAAAUAUGACCUAAAAUUUUAAUGCAAACCUUCGUUUCACGUGGCAUUUAAAAAGUCUUCGGGUGGCUUUCCAAUUAAGGGAUAAAAAUAAGUAGUUUUUAUAUACAUUGAAUAGCUAUGUGGUCUAAAUUUUUUGGUAGGGAGUUGCAUCUCCACUAUGAAUGUUUUAGUACCAACAUGGGUUCCUUACUUUUAUGGGGGACGUGAUAAGGUGAUGGUAUCUUUCAUGGUACGUUGAAUAAAGUAUAGAGCACAGGUGAAAUGUGUAAUGUUAACUAAGUUGUACUUUGACCACAAAUAAGAGUUUUUUUUAACAGUUAGUCGAUAUUUCUAUUUUUUACUGAUUCAAUUCACGCUCCGAGCGAGCGUAGAAGCUCACAAACUUAUUCCGAAAAUUAAAAAAAAUAGAUGUUUACAUGGACUACUGACAAUUUUUUGCAUAACAGUUGAGAUAACUAAUAGCUAUUAUUGUAUUAUUUUUUGGAUGCUAAAAUUAACUCUCAAAUUAUUAUUUUUUUAUAAAAAAAUAGAUUAAAAAAUUAAACAUUCAAUUGUGUUUUGUAACAGUGAAAAUUUUAUUGUUAUAUAAAAAAACGUUUUAUAAUAAUUUACUAAAUUUAUGAUAGGCCAAUUUGCAUAAAAAUUCUAUAAAUUUUGAGUUUUUGUAAAAUUAGACCGUUUUUUUCGAUUUUGCAAAUUCGAUUCGAAUUUUUUCGCAAACUGACCAAAAUACUCUUUAAUAAAACAGAAAGGAGUGGUGGGGUUUUUUUUUUUUUUUUUGAGAGAUAGGUAACACGCUACCCGCUUCGUUUAUUUUAUUUAAAAAUAAACUUAGCUGAAAAUAUAAAUCAACUGAAAUUUAAUUUGAAGUUUCGGAUACCAACCACUAAGUCUUUUGCCACUUGCUCUAGAAACGGUCGGUUGGGGAUUAAAUUUUUCAGAUCACGUAUAUCUAACUUUUCUUUUCCCCAAAAGUCUGGCCCGGUGAUGGGCACACGUGUACUUCAAUUAUCGCGAAGGGCUCGGAUGAGGGGCAUCGUUAGAGAGGGAGCGGGGGCCCACUUGGUGGGACCGGGAGGCACGUGACAAGGAGGGCUCCUAUUGGGUGGAGCCAAUGGAGGGGCGAAAGUGUGGGGCCCGAUGCUUGUGGCGCAAAGCGACCUUUAUACGCUCCACUUUCGCUUUAGCUUUUGCCGUGGGGUUCAGCGGCUUAGUACACGGAAUUUAAAGCGGUGACGUGGAACCGAGAGAGGGAAUCGGGCGACCGGGUAUUGCCGGUGGACUAUGCGUGCUUUUAAUACGGAGAAAAGUUUUCCGUCGCUGGACUUCGUCUACCACGUCAUCUAUGGACCUCCGAAGUAAAUGUCCCUUUCACAUGAGAAAUGGUUGCCGCAACACUAAGUUUAUAUAAUAUUUUAAAGAGGUAGAUUCCUAUGCUUUUUAAAGAGUACGAAAAUUUUUCAUAUUUUUAAGUUAUUUUUGAUGAUAGGGUAUCUGAUUCGAUAAUUGAUUUCGUUAUGCAUGAUAUAAGCUAUUAAAAUUAUUUAGUAACCAAAUUUUAUAUUUUUUUUGAAUUCGUUUCCUUAGUGAAUGAGUAGACUCAAAAUGAACGACUGAAAAUAAAAAUUUUACAAAAAACAGUGAUAAAAAACUUAAAUAUCAAAUUGCAAGUAUUGAUCUUAAUCUUGAUGUUAAGUAAAAUUUUCUAUUAAAGUUUUAUAUAAUUUAAAUUGUUCGAUAUCGUUGAACUUAUAAACGUACCAUAUUGGUCUUCAAAAUAGUAAUUUUGUAGACCAUUUAAUUAUUUGAUAAAUGAUGUCAAAAAAUUAUUAAUUUGAUUUUCAAAUAAUUCUAAUAACGUAGAUCAUAUCUAAUAACGCCGAUCGUUAAAUCAGAUAUUCUAUCAUUGAAAAUAACUUAUAAGCACAAAGGACUCCGUAUUUUUAAAAAUACUAGUCAUAAUGCACGUGCAAUGCACGUAACAUUUAAUUAAAUUAAAUUUAUAUUUAUAUUUUAAAUUUAAAUAGUUAUCGGUGAUAUGAGUCUAUUUAUCAAAUUUUAACUUUAAUUUAUCUUUGGAUAAGUUUUAUAUAUUUUUAAUUUAGUUACACUAUAAAUACUUUUCAUAUUUAUUUUAUAAUAUACAAUUAUUUUUAACGUGUAUACAAAAUUUAAAAUUUGAAUUAAUUCUAAAUUUUAAGUUAAUGAAUUCACAUUAAAAUUUUUGAACAAAAUUUAAAAUUUAAAAUUAAUUUUGACAAUGUGCCGGCGCCGGUGAUGUCGAGGUGACAAUGUGCCGGCGCCGGUGAUGUUGAUGAGGAGAACGAUGACGAUGCGCCAGUGAGGGCGAUGGGGACAAAUGAAAAAAAGAUAUUACUAAAAAAUAUUUGAAAUAUUUGAGAAAAAUAUAGAUGAAAAUGAAAAAAAGAUAUUACUAACAAAAUAUAUAUUUUAUAUUUGAUAAAUGUAUAAAUGUAAAUGAGAAAAUACUAAAAAAAAGAUAUGCUAAAAUAGUAUAAAAGCAUAUUAAAAAUUUUAGUUUAGAUCAAAAUAUCUCCCGAAUGUGGCAAAGGUGGCGAAGGCGACAAUAUGCCGUUGUCGGCGAUGACGAUGACGAUAUGCCGGUGCAAAUGUUAAUGUAAAUGAGAAAUACUAAAAUAAGAUAUACUAAAUAGUAUAAAAGCAUAUUAAAAAAAAUUCGUUAGAUCAAAUACCUCUCCAAUGUGGCAAAGGUAGCGAAGCGACAACAUGCCGGUGUGGAAUGCGAUUGCCGGUCGGCCAGUGAGGGAACAAAUGAGAAAUGAUAUUAGUAAAAAAAUAUUAAUGAUCAUUAAUGUGAGAGAUAAAAAGAUCAUGAAGAUGAUAUAUUUUUAAAUAAAAAAAAAUAUUACUAAAAAUAAUAUACUGAUGAUUUGCGCAUUAAUGUGAGAGAUAAAAAGUCAUGAAGAUGCACACUUAUUAGCAUUGUAAAAAUCUUAAAAAAGUAAAACAAAAUAUAUGAAAGACGAAUUGAGGUAGGAAUUAUAUUAUGACACAUUAAAAUGAAUUAGUGUAGCAAAAUACUUUCUAACGUGGCGAAGAUGAUCGUGACGACGAUGAGAAACGAAUAAAUAUUACAAAUAUAUAUUUGAGAAACGUAUAGUGAAAUGAAAAAGGAUAUACUUUUAUUAUAUUUAAGAAACGUAUAAUGGAGAUGAAGAAAGUAUUAAAAAAAUUAUUAUGUAUGGAUAAUAUGAUGUGAGAUAAAAUUGGAUUGGAUAAGUAUUAGAUACUUUCUAUAUAAUUAAAUUUUAAUUAUGUUUAAUUUUAAAAUUUAAAUUUAAUUUCGAUCCACUUUAAGUUUGGAAAUUCAAAAUUUUAAAUUUUUAAAAUUUAAUUUUGAUUCACUUUAAGAUUUAAUUCAAAUACGUGGGUAGUGAAGAUUUAUAUAUUUUUGAGAAAUCCAAAUUUAAUGAAUUAUUUAAAUAAAUAGUUCAAAUAUUUCUGACGAUGAAAAAAUUAGUAAAAAAGUAGAGACAUUUUCGAAAAGAAAUUCAUUUUAUUCAAAAUUCAAAUUUAUUUUGAUCAACUUUAAGAUUUAAGUUUAAAUGUGAAAUAAUGGAGAUAUUAUAUGUUUCUAAGAACUCAAAAUUCCUAGACAUGAAAAAAUUAGUUAAAAAGAUAGAGAUAUUUUCGUAAUAAAAUUCAUAUUUAAUUUAAAAUUUAAAAUUUUAUUUUGAUCCUUUUUAAUAUUUAAAUUCAAAAGCGAUGAUAUAUUUAAUUCAAAAUUAUGAUAGGUUGAAAAAACUUUUGAGAAACAAAGAGAAAAGAUUAAAAUUUUGAUGAGAUAUUUGAAAAAUGCGUGGAUACUAUGUGUGAGAAAGAUUAACCGGAUAUUAUGUAGGUAGUUGACGUAUAUGAUAGGUAGAUUAAUGAGAUAUUUGAGAAAUUUACGGAUAUUAUAUUGAGAAAGGAUUGAUGGGUACGUAUAUUAUGAGUGAGAAGGAAAAUAUUUGAGAAACAUGUAGAUAGAAAAUGUGAUAUAAAUGUAAGGGUAUUAUUGUCACAAAAAGUGACAGAUACUUUUAUUUUCAAUCGUUAGAUAAGAUCUAAUGGCAAAAAAUUAAUAUCUUUAUUUGAGAAUAAAUUAUUACUUAGUGAAUUAUUUGAAAUGAUUGGUUGAAAAUUACUGGACAUGAAAAUAUUAGUAAAAAUGAUAGAGGCAUUUUUGGAAAAAGAAAAAAAUUCAAAACUCACGCUUUUAUAAGUAGUAUAGAUAAAAGACGUACUCUAUUUUAAAUUAUAUAUAUAAAAAUUAGUUGUAAUCUUCAACAUCAUAUAUUAUUUAGAAAUCUAUAAAAGCAUCUUGUUUAAUUACGUGAGAUGGUAAGAGUUUCGUAAUGUUAAAAAAUUUAAGUAAUUAAGAUAUGUUUAACUAAUGUUUUUUUUUUUGAGAUAUUUUAAAAAUACGGAGUCCUUUGUGCUUAUAAGAUAUGUUUAACUUAUGUUGAUACAAUGUUUUUACGUAAGAUUAAAUGGUUUGAUCCUACGCUAUUUUUGUUUAAAAUUUCUCUUACAUAAAAGACUUUGUCCCAAAAGAUCCAAAAUUGUAUUUAUCUUUCUUUUAUAGUAAGAUUGAUAGUAUUUCGUUGUUUACUCUGCUUGAUAUAUAUGUUAUUUGAUGUGUGAUUUGGUACUUUAUAUUAUAAAUUGAACUUAAAACCUCAUAAAUUUAUGAUUGGCUCUGAUCUUACUAGAUGGUUGGAAUUGAAAAUAAUGAACGAGGGAUUUAAUCAUUUACUUGGAUUGAGCUAAUGGAUCGGGUUCUAUUGGCGAAGUGGACGUGCUCCUUUUUACGGAUUGCUAAGAAUAUUUGAUUAGCAUAAACGAUUAUUAAAUUCAAAUGGAUUUAAUCCAAGUUGGGCCAAAUUUUGUGCUGAACCCACUUGCAUCCUUUAUGCCAAUUUAGAAUAUUUGCAUAACAAAUUAAAUUUUACUUCAAAUUGCAGAUUUAAAUAUAUACAUACAUCCAUCAUUGAACGAAUAUAGAGCUUGGAUAUGGUAAAUCAUAACAUGUUCUAAUACACAAAAAAGGAAAAGAGAAUUGUGCAUUUGCAUUCAUCAAUUCCAAAAAAAGAAAAAAAAAAGGUUAUCAUUUUUUUUAAUGUAUAAAAGGUGUCCCUUAACUGAAAAGAAAAUUAUGGAUAUGAAAACAAGAAUGUUUCUUAAUAAAAGACAUCCUUUUUUUUUUGUGACAUGAUAGUACGAAUUCAGUACACUCCUAAUCAUAAAUGUUUGAGGUUUUUCUGAGUAUAGUAAUUAUUAAUUUAUUGAAUAACUUAUUAUUAUUUAUUUUAUUUGAAGAAGUCUAAAUUAAACUAAAAUAAAAUUUGAAAGUAUAAACUUGAAGUUUUUAAUUUAAAACUUUGGCUUUAGAGAGAAUUUGUUAAAUACCUUUGUUUAGUGCUUUUUUUUUUAGCAACCACAUUUAAAUGACAUGUUACGUAAAAAAGCAACAUAGUCAAAACGUGAUCUAAACCAAUAAUAACAGAUUCGACCAAUUUUUAUUUAAUUUUUUUUUAUUUUAAGCCCCAAUAUUAAUUUUAAUAAUUAAGAUUUCAUUCUUUUUUGCAAAGUUUUUGCCGUCAAAAUUUUAUGAUUUAAUCGCAUGCACUGACUCAGGUAAAACAUAUGUAUUACGGACUUGACUGUGAAACUUAAAAGAUUAAGGAUUAAAAUAGAAAAGCACACGAAAAAAAAGUAGACUAAGGAUAAAAUAAAAUUAAUUUAGAAUACUUUUAAAAAUAGAUGAAAUCGUUGACUACAAUUUAUUUAUUUAUCGUUUUCUACGACCGGAUAUUUGAAUCAACGAUUAAUAUCGUUAAUUUGAUUUAAAUUAUUUGAACAUUCUAAAAAUCAAAAUUUAUAAUUUUACAAUAUUAUAUACUAGCAAUUAAAUAGUCUUAAAUUCUUCUUUACAUCAGUCAGCAAAAUUGGUCAAUUUUGAAACUCCUUAAACACUACAUAAAUAAUGUCAAAAACUAUAAAAAAUAUAAUUUUUUUUAUAAAAUAA
rnacentral:lncRNA from 1 species